rnacentral:lncRNA from 1 species
UAUGCUGACUGGCUUGGAGCCAAGGUUAGAUUUGUGAAGAUAGUUGAGAAGUUCACUACCAAUGUUGCAGCCCCAACGCAACAAGAAAUUCCUCAGGCUGAGGCAUCUGCUCAGCCUACAGAAGAACAUGCCAGCACCGCUGAUGAAAAUCAGGCUGCUGAUGAAACUGCUAGUGUCAGGGUUGAUGACUGCAUUCCAGCCGCUGAUGACUCUGCCAGGACAACCACUAGUGUUGCGCCUGAAGAAAUAGUCAGGCCAGCUGAAGCUUCAACCGCUGUGCCUGAAGAAACUGAAAAUGCCAGGGCAACUGCAUCAGUUGUGCCUGAAGUAACUGAACCAAUUUCCUCUGCUCCUCCUGCACCUACACCAAGUCCAAUUCUUCCUUCUACAUCAGAUGUGAAGAAGACCAAGGCUACAGAGCGUGAAGCUGUGAAGAAAAGGAAAGCAUCAACUUCAUCAGAAUCUUCAGCUCCGAAGAAGAUGAAGAAAUUGGCAAGCUCUUUUGAGAAUCAUAUUGAUGUUGUUCCAGUCUCAAGCAUGCCAUCAAAGGAACUCGUUCCUUUUGAUGAAGAAUACGUGAUCCCAAGCAGAUCCGAUGAUGAUAUUCCUUUUGCUGCUUCUUCAGAGCAGUUGGAUGAAGAAAUUGAAGUGGAUGCAAUCCCUUCGACCCCAGUCGUCUCAUCGCCAGUGCCUCAGUUCACAGCUAAAGAGGUCGGUGUUGAAGAAAUAAGUGAUGAGGAUGAGGAUGUGGACAUUGGGUGCACAACACCUGUGAUGAACGAUGACUUUUGGGAAAGUCAGCACCCCAAUUCUCCUCUGUUCACACCUCUGCAACAAAUUCCUCAAUCCCCAGUGCAAACUGAAGUUCAAAUGGGAUUUGAAGAACCUCACCCCACUCCGUCUAUUCAUGACGAGAUUCCAGCCACUAGUGCUGAUGAAAUUGCUGCUGAAGGAUUGAAGACCCAGGCUGCCACUGAAGAAGAACCUGAAAUUCCUCAGCCUGUGGAUCCUGAGAUUGCGAUUCCUGAGGUUGUGAUGCAAUUAACUGAUACACCUCAGCCCAAGCCAAAGGAUCCCUUCUCAAAGAAGCAAAAAUUCAAGGCUGAUGACUUCUUCGGCGAGCAUGUGUUCUUCAUUGAGUAUAACCCAUAUGACUCUGCUCGUCUUAGAAGGAAGCGCUUCUGGACUGCCAGCCAAUCCAACUUCUAUUCUUCACUGCUUUUCAACAAAGACAAAGUCUUCGACCAUGAGCAUAUUCCUCACGUGGACAUGGAAUCACUGCCUUGCUUCGCCCCAGUCCUCAGUGUGCUUCAUGAUGCAGGACUGCUCAACUUUUGCACUGACAUUGUUGAUUGGAAUGAAGAGCUAAUUCUUCAGUUCUAUGCAAUGCUGCACAUCACAGGAGAUGCUAAUGAUGUGAACUCUUGGGUAUUGGACUGGAUGACAGAGAAUACACACUACAAAUCACCGGCCUCUGAAUUGCUUCAUGCCCUGCCUGUCAGUCCUCCCCUUGAAGGUGAUCAUUACCUGUACCAUGAACUUGAACUUACCGCUCACUACAUGCAAGUAUUAAUGAAGCCGCUGAAGCCCGGUCAAGCCCCAAGGACCAAAUUCCUCGUGAAGGAAUUGCUCUAUGUGCCUCGGACUGUCUAUCGCAUUCUGAUGAAGACAAGGAGUCCAAUAAAAGGCCACAACUCGAAUGAUGAAGAAGUCGUUGGCAUCAUGAAGAAUCUGCUUUUCAAUAUCAUGCAUGGCAUUCCUGUCAACUACCAUGAUUUCUUCAUGAGGACUCUGGCAAAUGUUGCACUCUCUCCUUUUGAGUUGAAGCCUUAUGCUCCUUGGAUUAUGAGAUUCCUCAGAACAAGGUCUUCACUCAACUACAAGGCUGAUUUUCAAAAUCAUCUCAGCUACUUGCCCCCCAUUGAGGUCCUCAAACGGACAUUUUCCUCAGCUGAUGAAAAGGGCAAGGCCACUGCUAUUCUUGAUGAAGGCAUUCGUCCAUUGGAUGGUCAGUUCCGCAAAGCUGCAUCUUACUCCACCAAUGAUGACUCUACCACUCAUGACUCUUCCGCAAAUGCUUCAAAGCAAAAUUCUCAAGGCACAGCUCCAAGGGUGAUGACUGAUCGUGAGCUUCUCCUCAGUCUUCACCAGAAGGUCGAUCGCAACCAUAAAUGGGUUAAGCGUCAGUUUGGUUCCAUUCUUCACAACAUGACUGCUACACACAAUGCAGUGAAGACAAACCAUUACUACCUCCAUGAAGUCUUCGGUCGCACCUGGGUUGUUCUGUCACAUCUGUAUGGUGAAGAAGAUCUGAAGCAAAUGGGUCUCAAGCAGGACAUUGACUGGUCUCAGCCACCAGCGAAGAAAUUUAAGAAAGUCAAAGUUCCCUCCUUGGUGGCCAGCUCAUAUUCUUCAUCGCGUGCCACGGAUGAGCAUGUAGAUUUGGACGACACUGCGGCAGGCCCUACUACAACAACCGACCCCAACAAUGCUGGCGCUCCUCCAUCAACAUGAUAUAGGGGCGUUAGUCCUCAUUUUUCAAUCCUUUUGGUCAUUUGAUGACAAAGGGGGAGAAAUUUGAGUUAGUCUUCAAGCGGGUCUACAUAUAUGGGCGUUUUUUUGCUAAGUUACAACUCUCGUUCUUUUGAAGACUUUGCUGGAUCGAGUUGUAAACUUAAACCCGAUGGUGGUCUGAUACUUUUGAUGUGUUCUUCUGCAUGCUUAUUCCUCAUAUAUGUUAAUGCACGCAUGCUGAUUUACAUCAGUCACCAUAUUUCAUCAUGCAUUUCAAAUUCUUCACAUUAUAUGUCAAAUGCGUGUAUGAAUUACAAGAUAUAGGGGGAGAUCUCCAUGAUACUACUCUUAAAGUGUGCAUUGCUUCAAAAGCAAAUUCCUCACUAUGCACAUCUUCAGGGGGAGUUCUUCUAUAUCUUGCAAUCAAAUUCCUCAAUAUCAGUAUUUACACUUCAUAUGUUUAUCCCCGUUGAAAACUUAACCUAUAUUUUCAUCAAUCACCAAAAAGGGGGAGAUUGUAAGUGCAUCUAGUGCCCCUUAGUGAUUUUGGUGUAUUGAAGACUUAUAGAUUAAGGGACUGAUGCAUUUGUGAGUGUACACAGGUCUAUAAGUCUUUGAGGAGUUUGAUAUUUACAGAGAAAGUCGACCCCUAAAAAUGAAGUUCUUCGACUGAAGACUUUGGAUUUCUGAAGACUUUAAAGUGAAGAAAUUGGUGUGACCUUGAAGACUUGGUAUUCAUUCGAGGAACAUGAAGCCUGAAGACUUUUGUUUUUGUAGUUUCAUUUUCUCUUUCUUGAGUCAUAGGAAACACCGUACUGUUAAAGGGGGUUGAGGAAAUACUAAGGAAAAAUUUCCAAGUGAUGCUCAACUCAAAAUCCUACACCUACCAAUCCCUUCGAGUGAAGCCAUUGGAAAUCUCAUGCAGUUCAGUCAAUUUCUUCAGUGACAGAGACGAAGUUCUUCUGGUCUCUGAGGAAUUUGUUCUGACCGAGGAGUUAGGAAUUCGCCAGUGUGGAUUGCCUACAAGUGAGGAACAUGAUAGCCUUGAGGAAUUUGAUAGUCAAAUUUCCGACUGUUGUUGUGCUAUGCGCCAGCUGUCCCAAAAUAUCUACCCACCUAACGGUCAUAUCAUUGAAGGGCAUUUAUGUCUUAUCAUGUCGGGCUGCUCCCUAGGCUAUAAAUAGCCGCCCCCUACAACCACUAGCUGGUUGGCUGCUCCGAGAGAAACUGACACUUGUCAUUUGAGAGCAUCCCAUCCUCCGAGGACUUUGAGCGAAAAUCAUCAAGUGAGGAAAACCCAAACCCAAACACCUACAAACCCAAAGUGAUUGAGCAUCACUGAAGAGAUUGAUCCUGCGUGGAUCCGACGCUUGUUACCUUUGAAGACUGUGCAUCUUCCAGACGGUUAGGCGUCAUGGUCUAGAGCAUCCAAGAGGAAAUUGUGGAUCGCCGAGUGACCAAGUUUGUGAAGGUUUGGAAGUCACCUGAAGACUUACCACGAGUGUUUGGGCAAGGUUUGUGUGACCUUAGCUCAAGGAGAAUACGGUGAGGACUGUGUGUCUGGGACUGUGUGUCCUCAGGUUUAAAUACCUAGCCACUCCAACCAGGCGUACAACUAUCACAACAGUUGGAACUGGUCUACCAAAUCAUUGUCUUCACCAAGCCUAGUGGUUCUAUUUCCUCAACUCUUUCAUUUCCUCAUAACUGUGUUGUGUGCUUGUUCAUAUCUGUUUGAAGACUUUGACUGAAGACUUUCUCAAUUUCCUUAGUUCAAUUUCUUCAGUCUGUUUGUCUUCAUCCUGUUUUAUCCUGUGCUUAUGCUUCCUGUACUCUGUGUCUGUUUUCAUUUCAUCAUGAUAUCCAUGUUUAUGUUAUGUCAUGUAUGCAUCUGAGUACUUAUUCCGCUGCAAGUAGUUCUUCGCUUAGGAAUUUCCUCACCCUGAAAUUCCUCAGUGAAGAAUUCAUAAAAAUCGCCUAUUCACCCCCCCUCUAGUCGACUUAACGCACUUUCAAGGGGGCACCCCAAAGGUACAACGGACAAUCUCUUAGCCGUGUGCGGUGCCCCCUCCACAGUUACACACCUUGGUUAUAUCGUCGUAGUGCUUAGGCGAAGCCCUGCGCCGGUAACUUCAUCAUCACCGUCGCCACACCGUCGUGCUGACGGAACUCUCCCACGGCCUCAACCGGAUCAAGAGUACGAGGGUCAUCGUCGAGCUGAAUGUGUGCUGAACACGGAGGUGCCGUACAUUCGGUGCUAGGAUCGGUCGGAUCGGGAAGACGUACAACUACAUCAAUUGUGUUGAUAAAACGCUUCCGCUUUCGGUCUACGAUGGUAUGUGGACACACUCUCCCGCUCGUUGCUAUGCAUCACCUAGAUGGAUCUUGCGUGUGCGUAGGAUUUUUUUUUUGAAAUUACUGCGUUCCCCAACAGUGGCAUCCGAGCCAGGUCUAUGCAUCGAUGUUAUAUGCACGAGUAUAACACAAAGAGUUGUGGGCGAUAAUAGCCAUACUGCUUACCAGCAUGUCAUACUUUGAUUCGGCGAUAUUGUUGGAUGAAGCGGCUCAAACCGACAUUACAUGACCGUGUUCAUGAGACUGGUUCUACCGCCGUGCUUCGCACACAGGUGGCUAGUGGGUGUCUGUUUCUCCAACUUUAGUUGAAUCGAGUGUGGCUACGCCCGGUCCUUGUUGAAGGUUAAAACAACACACUUGACGAAAAAUCGUUGUGGUUUUGAUGCGUAGGUAAGAACGGUUCUUGCUAAGCCGUAGCAGCCACAUAAAACUUGCAACAACAAAGUAGAGGACGUCUAACUUGUUUUUGCAGGGCAUGUUGUGAUAUGAUAUGGUCAAGACGUGAUGAGAUAUAAAUUUUUGUAUGAGAUGAUCAUGUUUUUGAAAUUAUCGGCAACUGGCAGGAGCCAUAUGGCUGUCUCUUUAUUGCAUAAGAUGCAAGUGCCAUGUAAUUGCUUUAUUUUAUCGCUAUGUGAUAGCAAUAGUUGCAAAAGAAAUAGUUGGCGAGACGACCAUAUGACGACACGUUGAUAGAUAUCAUGGUGUCAUGCCGGUGAUGAUAGAAAUCAUGACGGUACUUUGGAGAUGGAGAUCAAAGGCACAAGAUGAUGAUGGCCAUAUCAUGUCACAUAUUUGGAUUGCAUGUGAUGUUUAUCUUUUAUACAUCUUAUUUUGCUUGGUUCGGCGGUAGCUUUAUAAGAUGAUCCCUUACUAAAAUUUCAAGGUAUAAGUGUUCUCCCUGAGUAUGCACCGUUGCGACAGUUCUUCGUGUUGAGACACCACAUGAUGGUCGGGUGUGAUAAGCUCUACGUUCACAUACAACGGGUGCAAGCCAGUUUUGCACAUGCAGAAUACUCGAGUUAAACUUGACGAGCCUAGCAUAUGCAGAUAUGGCCUCGGGACACUUGAGACCGAAAGGUCGAACGUGAAUCAUAUAGUAGAUAUGAUCAACAUAGUGAUGUUCACCAUUGAAAACUACUCCAUCUCACGUGAUGAUCAGACAUGGUUUAGUUGAUAUGGAUCACAUGAUCAUUUAGAUGACUCGAGGGAUGUCAAUCUAAGUGGGAGUUCUUAAGUAAUAUGAUUAAUUGAACUUAAAUUUAUCAUGAACUUAGUCCUGAUAGUAUUUGCAUAUCUAUGUUGUAGAUCAAUAGCUCGCAAAUAGCUUCCCCGUUUUAUUUAUGAUAUGUUCCUAGAGAAAACUAAGUUGAAAGAUGAUAGUAGCAAUGAUGCGGACUUGGUCCGUGAUCUGAGGAUUAUCCUCAUUGCUGCACAGAAAAAUUAUGUCCUUGAUGCACCGCUACAUGACAGACCUAUUGCAGGAGCAAAUACAGACGUUAUGAACGUUUGACAAAGCUCGGUAUGAUGACUACUUGAUAGUUUAGUGCACCAUUCUUUAGGCUUAGAACCGGGACUUCAAAAAUGUUUUGAACGCCAUGGAGCAUAUAAGAUGUUCCAAGAGUUGAAAUUGGUAUUUCAUACUCAUGCCCGUGUCGAGAGGUAUGAGACCUCUGACAGUACUUUGCCUACAAAAUGGAGGAGAAUGGCUCAACCAGUGAGCAUGUGCUCAGAUUGUCUGGGUACUACAAUUGCUUGAAUCAAGUGGGAGUUAAUCUUCCAAAUAAGAUAGUAAUUGACAAAGUUCUCUAGUCACUAUCACCAAGUUACUAGAACUUCAUGAUGAACUAUAAUAUGCAAGGGAGGACGAAAGUAAUUCCCGAGCUCUUCACGAUGUUGAAAUUGGCGAAGGUAGAAAUCAAGAAAGAGCAUCAAGUGUUGAUGGUUUACAAGACCACUAGUUUCAAGAAAAAGGGAAAAAGAAUAGAAAGAGAACUUCAAGAAGAAUGACAAACAAGUUGUCACUCCCAUGAAGAAACCCAAAGCUAGACUCAAGCCUGAAACUGAGUGCUUCUACUGCAAAGGAAAUGGUCACUGAAGUGGAACUGCCCGUAGAUACUUGGCGGAUAAGAAGGAUGGCAAAAUGAACAAAGGUAUAUUUGAUAUACAUGUUAUUGAUGUGUACUUUACUAGUGUUUAUAGCAACCCCUCGGUAUUUGAUACUAGUUCAGUUGCUAAGAGUAGUAACUCGAAACGGGAGUUGCAAAAUAAACAGAGACUAGUUAAGGGCGAGGUGACGAUGUGUGUUGGAAAUGAUUCCAAGGUUGAUAAGAUCACCAUCGCACACUCCUUUUAUCUUCGGGAUUAGUGUUGAACCUAAAAUAAAUGUUAUUUGGUGUUUGCGUUAAGCAUGAAUAUGAUUGGAUCAUGUUUAUUGCAAUACAGUUAUUCAUUUAAGUCAAAGAAUAAUUGUUGUUCUAUUUACAUGAAUAAAAACCUUUUAUGGUCAUACACUCAAUGUAAAUGGUUUAUUGAAUCUCGAUCGUAGUGAUACACAUAUUCAUAAAUAUUGAAGCCAAAAGAUGCAAAGUUAAUAAUCACAGUGCAACUUAUUUGUGGCACUGCCGUUUAGGUCAUAUUGGUGUAAAGCGCAUGAAGAAACUCCAUGCCGAUGGACUGUUGGAAUCAUUUGAUUAUGAAUCAUUUGAUGCUUGCGAACCAUGCCUCAUGGGCAAGAUGACUAAGACUCCGUUCUCCGGAACAAUAGAGCGAGCCACUGACUUAUUGGAAAUAAUACAUACCGAUGUAUGCAGUCCAAUGAGUGUUGAGGCUCACGGCGGGUAUCAUUGUUUUCUGACCUUCACAGAUGAUUUGAGCACAUAUGUGUAUAUCUACUUGAUGAAACACAAGUCUGAAACACUUGAAAAGUUCAAAGAUUUUCAGAGUGAAGUAGAGAAUCAUCGUAACAAGAAAAUAAAGUUUCUACGAUCUAAUCGUAGAGGCAAAUAUUUGAGUUACGAGUUUGGCCUUCAAUUAAAACAAUGUGGAAUACUUUCAGAAACUCAUGCCACCUGGAACACCACAGCAUAAUGGUGUGUCUGAACGUCAUAACCGUACUUUAUUGGAUAUAGUGCAAUCUAUGAUGUCUCUUACCGAUUUACCACUAUCGUUUUGGGGUUAUGCAUUAGAGACAGUUGCAUUCAUGUUAAAUAGGGCACCAUCUAAAUCUAUUGAGACGACACCUUAUGAACUAUGGUUUGGCAAAAAAACCAAGUUGUCGUUUCUUAAAGUUUGACGCUGCGAUGCUUAUGUGAAAAAGCUUCAACCUGAUAAGCUCGAACCCAAAUCGGAGAAAUGUGUCUUCAUAGGAUACCCAAAAGAGACUGUUGGGUACACCUAUCACAUAUCCGAAGGCAAGAUCUUUGUUGCUAAGAAUGGAUCCUUUCUGGAGAAGGAGUUUCUCUCGAAAGAAGUGAGUGGGAGGAAGGUAGAACUUGAAGAGGUAAUUGUACCUUCUCCUGAAUUGGAAAGUAUUUCUUCACUGAAAUCGGUUCAAGUGAUGCUUACACCAAUUAGUGAGGAAGUUAAUGAUGAUGAUCAUGAAGCUUCGGAUCAAGUUACUACCGAACCUCGUAGGUCAACCAGAGUACGUUCCGCACCAGAGUGGUACGGUAAUCCUAUUCUGGAGUUCAUGUUACUUGACCAUGACGAACCUACGAACUAUGAGGAAGCGAUGAUGAGCCCAGAUUCCGCGUAAUGGCUUGAGGCCAUGAAAUCUGAGAUGGGAUCCAUGUAUGAGAACAAAGUGUGGACUUUGGUUGACUUGCCCGAUGAUUGGCAAGCCAUAGAAAAUAAAUGGAUCUUCAAGAGGAAGACGGACGCUGAUAGUAGUGUUAUUAUCUACAAAGCUAGACUUGUCGAAAAAGGUUUUUGACAAAGUUCAAGGUGUUGACUACGAUGAGAUUUUCUCACUCGUAGCGAUGCUUAAGUCUGUCCGAAUCAUGUUAGCAAAUUGCCACAUUUUAUGAAAUCUGGCAAAUGGAUGUCAAAACUACAUUCCUCAAUGGAUUUCUUAAAGAAGAGUUGUAUAUGAUGCAACCAGAAGGUUUUGUCGAUCCUAAAGGUGCUAACAAAAUGUGCAAGCUCCAGCGAUCCAUCCAUGGACUGGUGCAAAGCAUCUCAGAGUUAUAAUAUACGCUUUGAUGAGUUGAUCAAAGCAUAUAGUUUUAUACAGACUUGCGAUGAAGCUGUAUUUACAAGAAAGUGACUGGGAGCACUACAACCUUUCUGAUAAGUAUAUGUGAAUGACAUAUUGUUGAUCGGAAAUGAUGUAGAAUUUUCUGGAAAGCACCAAAGGAGUGUUUGAAAGGAGUUUUUCAAAGGAAGUCCUCGAUGAAGUUGCUUACAUAUUAAGCAUCAAGAUCUAUAGAGAUAGAUCAAGACGCUUGAUAAGUUUUUUCAAUGAGUACAUACCUUGACAAAUUUUUGAAGUAGUUCAAAAUGGAACAGUCAAAGAAGGAGUUCUUGCCUGUAUUGCAAGGUGCGAAAUUGAGUAAGACUCAAAGCCCGACGACGGCAGAAGAUAGAAAGAGAAUGAAAGUCCUUUCCUAUGCCUCAGCCAUAGGUUCUAUAAAGUAUGCCAUGCUGUGUACCAGAUCUAUUGUAUACCCUACACUGAGUUUGGCAAGGGAGUACAAUAGUGAUCUAGGAGUAGAUCACUGGACAGCGGUCAAAAUUAUCCUUAGUGGAAUAAGGAUAUGUUUCUCAAUUAUGGAGGUGACAAAAGGUUCAUCGUAAAGGGUUACGUCGAUGGAAGUUUUGACACUGAUCCAGAUGACUCUAAGUCUCAAUCUGGAUACAUAUUGAAAGUGGGAGCUAUUAGAUACAGUAGCUCCGUGUAGAGCAUUGUUGACAUAGAAAUUUACAAAAUACAUACGGAUCUGAAUAUGGCAGACCCGUUGACUAAACUUCUCUCACAAGCAAAACAUGAUCACACCUUAGUACUCUUUGGGUGUUAAUCACAUGGCAAUGUGAACUAAGAUUACUGACUCUAGUAAACCCUUUGAGUGUUGGUCACAUGGCGAUGUGAACUAUGGGUGUUAAUCACAUGGUGAUGUGAACUAUUGGUGUUAAAUGACAUGGCGAUGUGAACUAGAUUAUUUACUAUAGUGCAAGUGGGAGACUAAAGGAAAUAUGCCCUAGAGGCAAUAAUAAAGUUAUUAUUUAUUUCCUUAUAUCAUGAUAAAUGUUUAUUAUUCAUGCUAGAAUUGUAUUAACCGGAAACUUAGUACAUGUGUGAAUACAUAGACAAAACAAAGUGUCCCUAGUAUGCCUCUACUUGACUAGCUCGUUUAUCAAAGAUGGUCAUGUUUCCUAACCAUAGACAUGUGUUGUCAUUUGAUGAACGGGAUCACAUCAUUAGGAGAAUAAUGUGAUGGACAAGACCCAUUCGUUAGCUUAGCAUUAUGAUCGUUAUAGUUUCAUUGCUACUGCUUUCUUCAUGACUUAUACAUGUUCCUCAGACUAUGAGAUUAUGCAACUCCCGAAUACCGGAGGAACACCUUGUGUGCUAUCAAACGUCACAACGUAACUGGGUGAUUAUAAAGAUGCUCUACAGGUGUCUCCGAUGGUGUUUGUUGAGUUGGCAUAGAUCGGGAUUAGGAUUUGUCAUUCCGUGUAUCGGAAAGGUCUCUCUGGGCCCUCUCGGUAAUGCACAUCACUAUAAGCCUUACAAGCAUUGUGACUAAUGAGUUAGUUGCGGGAUGAUGUAUUACAGAACGAGUAAAGAGACUUGCGGGUAAUGAGAUUGAACUAGGUAUGAGGAUACCGACGAUCGAAUCUCGGGCAAGUAACAUACCGAUGACAAAGGGAACAACGUAUGUUGUUAUGUGGUUUGACCGAUAAAGAUCUUCGUAGAAUAUGUAGGAGCCAAUAUGAGCAUCCAGGUUCCGCUAUUGGUUAUUGACGGGAGAUGUGUCUCGGUCAUGUCUACAUAGUUCUCGAACCCGUAGGGUCCGCACGCUUAACAUUCGAUGACGAUUUGUAUUAUGAGUUAUGUGAUUUGAUGACCGAAGUUUGUUCCGAGUCCCGGAUGUGAUUGGGGACAUGAGAAGGAGUCUCAAAAUGGUCGAGAGGUAAAGAUCGAUAUAUUGGAAGGCUAUAUUCGGACAUUGGAAAGGUUCCAAGUGAUUCGGGUAUUUUUCGGAGUACCGGAGAGUUACGGGAAUUCACCGGGAGAAGUAUUGGGCCUUAUUGGGCCAUACGGGAAUAGAGGAGGCAGGCCAAAGGGAAGGAGGCGCGCGCCCCCCAUGGGUCUGAAUUGGACUAGGGAAAGGGGCGGCGCCCCCCUUGCCCUUUCCUACUCCCUCUUUCUUUCCCUCGUUCUUCUCUCCUACUCCGGAAAGGAAAAGGGGAAUGCUACUAGGACUUGGGAGUCCUAGUAGGACUCCCCACACUUGGCGCGCCCCCUGUAGGGCCGGCCUCCUCCUCCUCCCUCCUUUAUAUACGUGGGCAGGGGACACCCCAAAGGCACAACAGACAAUCUCUUAGCCAUGUGCGGUGCCCCCCUCCACAGUUACACACCUCGGUCAUCUCGUCAUAGUGCUUAGGCGAAGCCCUACGCCGGUAACUUCGUCAUCAUCGUUGCCACGCCGUCGUGCUGACGGAACUCUCCCUCGGCCUCAACUGGAUCAAGAGUACGAGGGACGUCAUCAAGCUGAACGUGUGCUGAACACGGAGGUGCCGUACGUUCGGUGCUAGGAUCGGUCGGAUCGUGAAGACGUACGACUACAUCAACUGCGUUGAUAAAACGCUUCCGCUUUUGGUCUACGAGGGUACGUGGACACACUCUCCCGCUCGUUGCUAUGCAUCACCUAGAUGGAUCUUGCGUGUGCGUAGGAAUUUUUUUGAAAUUACUGCGUUCCCCAACACUUGGUAGGUUCUGCCAAUGAGACAAAGGAGAAACUGCCACAGUAGUUAGCUAAAUGAGUGCGUGAACGAGUUGUGGGUCGAUAUCCUGGAUUCUUGGGUUCAUCGAGAUUUAAUGAAGGGUCAACUCAAUUAUCCACUCGUGGAUGAGGAUUUUCAUCUUGAUGAUCAUUAUCAUUUUCAUCAGCAUCAGCAUUUGUAUCGCCAUUCCCUUCAGGAUUGCCAUUUUGAUCGGCAUUUUGGUAUUUGGUUGCGAUUCGCAUUCGGAGAGCCCAAAUGCUCCUCGGCGAUGUACACUCCAAAACUGAGUGACGCCAGGAAUCCCGGACUCCACAUAGUCCACAUUUGUGGAGAAUCAGCCAUAUGACGAUGAGCGUGAAAAUCAUUUGUCGGAAGCGAGUGUUUCGACAGCCUCCAUAAGAACAUGGCUUGGCGUGUUCUGCUUCGAGUAAUAGGAGCAUCAUCAUUGGAAGACUCAGGAGCAUUUUCCUCAACUGGCUUGACGCCCCCAAUAGCCAUUUGCUGAAUAGUAUCCGAAAUCGGUGGUUCAUCUAUCACAUUUGGCAGGUGCUCCUUCUGGGAGCCUCUAGAUUCAUCAAACCGCACACUUACCAUUUCCAUAACUUUCCCUUGGUGAGAGUUAUAGACACGAUAAGUAUGUGAGUUCGAGACAUAACCACGAAGAAAACCUUCAUGUGCCUUAGGUGCAAACUUGGAAGAAUGAUUCAUGUCAAGAAUAUAAUAAGGUGCACCAAAAACACGUAGAUAAGAAACAUUUGGUCUCUUGCCAGUGAUAAGCUCAUAUGAAGUUUUCUUAAGGAACUUGUGAAGAUAAACACGAUUGAUAACAUGACAGGCAGUGUUAAUAGCAUCAGCCCAGAAGCGAAUAGGAGUUUUAUACUCAUUGAGCAUUGUUCUCUCCAUUUUGAUGAGAGUUCUAUUCUUUAGUUCAACAACUCCAUUCUGUUGGGGAGUGUAAGCGGCGGAGAACUCAUGAGUAAUACCAUUUUCGUUGAGAAAAUCAUCAAUAUGAGUAUUUUUGAACUCAGUUCCAUUUUCACUUCUAACAUGCUUAAUUCGUACAUCAUAUUCAUUCUGGGCCUUCUUAGCGAAACUUUUGAAGAUGUCUUGGGUGCAGGUUUUGUCUUCGAGAAAUAAUACCCAAGUGUAACGAGAUAAAUCAUCAACAAUAACCAGGCCAUAAUGCAUGCCACCGAAACUUGCAUAGUUUUGAUGACCGAAUAAAUCCAUAUGAAGAAUUUCCAGAGGUCUUGUCGUGGUGAUAACAAUCUCUGAUGAAUGAUGCUUCUUGGCCAAUUUACCAGCCUCACAUGCAGCACAAAGACGAUCCUUGUCGAAUUUUACAUCAGGAAUGCCACAGAGAUGAUUUUUCCUCACUAGGGUGAGCAAUUUUCUCAUACCUGCAUGACCAAGCCUUCGGUGCCACAGCCAACCUUCGGUUGCUUUUGCAAGCAAACAGGUUUGGACUAAGGGACCCUUAAAGAAAUCCACAAUAUAUAGAUCACCUUUUCUAAUUCCCUCGAAGAUGAAGGAAUUAUUAGAGGCCAUAAAUACAAUUGAAUUUGGAUAUGGACAAUAGAACUAGAAUGCCUAGAUCGCAUAGCUUGCCAACUGACAUAAGAUUGAAUCCAAGAGACUGAACAAGUAAAACAUCAUCAAUGGGCGUGUCUUUGGAUAUGGCAAUUGUGACGCCCCCGAUAAAAUCAUACACUAAUCAUGCACGCAAACGUGUACGAUCAAGAUCAGGGACUCACGGGAAGAUAUCACAACACAACUCUAAAAUAAAAAUAAGUCAUACAAGCAUCAUAAUACAAGCCAGGGGCCUCGAGGGCUUGAAUACAAGUGCUCGAUCAUAGACGAGUCAGCGGAAGCAACAAUAUCUGAGUACAGACAUAAGUAAACAAGUUUGCCUUAAGAAGGCUAGCACAAACUGGGAUACGGAUCGAAAGAGGCGCAGGCCUCCUGCCUGGGAUCCUCUUAAACUACUCCUGGUCGUCGUCAGCGGCCUGCACGUAGUAGUAGGCACCUCCGGUGUAGUAGGAGUCAUCGUCGACGGUGGCGUCUGGCUCCUGGGCUCCAGCAUCUGGUUGCGACAACCAGGAAGAAAGGAAAGGGGGAAAAGGGGGAGAAAAGCAACCGUGAGUACUCAUCCAAAGUACUCGCAAGCAAGGAUCUACACUACGUAUGCAUGGGUAUAUGUGUAAAGGGGCUAUAUCGGUGGACUGAACUGCAGAAUGCCAGAAUAAGAGGGGGAUAGCUAAUCCUAUCGAAGACUACGCUUUUGGCUGCCUCCAUCUUGCAGCAUGUAGAAGAGAGUAGAUGGUAAGUUCACCAAGUAGCAUCGUAUAGCAUACUCCUACCCAGCAAUCCUCUCCUCGUCGCCCUGUUAGAGAGCGACCACCGGGUUGUAUCUGGCACUUGGAAGGGUGUGUUUUAUUAAGUAUCUGGUUCUAGUUGUCAUAAGGUCAAGGUACAACUUCGGGUCAUCCUUUUACCGAGGGACACGGCUAUUCGAAUAGAUAAACUUCCCUAGAGGUGUGCACCACAUAACCCAACACACUCGAUCCCAUUUGGCCGGACACACUUUCCUGGGUCAUGCCCGGCCUCGGAAGAUCAACACGUCGUAGCCCCACCUAGGCACAACAGAGAGGUCAGCACGCCGGUCUAAAUCCCAUGGCGCAGGGGUCUGGGCCCAUCGCCCAUUGCACACCUGCACCUUGCGUGGGCGGCCGGAAGCAGACCUAGCCCAGCAGGCGUUCCAGUCCAAUCCGGCGCGCGCCACUCAGUCGCUGACGUCACGAAGGCUUCGGCUGAUACCACGACGUCGAGUGCCCAUAACUGUCCCCACGUAGUUGGUUAGUGCGUAUAGGCCAGUGGCUAGACUCAGAUCAAAUACCAAGAUCUCGUUAAGCGUGUUAUUAUGAAGUAACCAUGAACGCCGACCAGGGCCAGGCCCACCUCUCGCCCAGGUGGUCUCAACCUGCCCUGUCGCUCCGCCACAAAGAUCCACUCGCGGGUACUCCAACAGCCGACCCGACUUUAGUCACCACAUGUAUCACGUAAAGUAUAUAAGUAUAUACCUGUGAUCACCUCCGAGUGAUCACGGCCCAAUAGUAUAGCAAGGCAGACGGACAAGAAUGUAGGGCCACAGAUGGAAUACUAGCAUCCUAAACUAAGCAUGUAGGAUUGCAGGUAAAGGUAACAACAGUAGUAGCAAGGACAGGCUAUGCAGCAGAAUAGGAUUAACGGAAAGCAGUAACAUGCUACACUACUCGAAUGCAAGCAGUAUAGAGAAGAAUAGGCGAUAUCUGGUGAUCAAGGGGGCUUGCCUGGAAGCUCUGGCAAGGAGGGGUCGUCAACAACGUAGUCGGCCGGGGCACCAGCAGCGGCGUCAGUCUCGUAGUCUACCGAAGAGAAGAGGGGGAAGAAACAAUGAAUAUAAUGCAAACAGAUGCAUAACGAUGCAUGACAAGACAAUGAGCGUUGCUAGGCGUGCCCUAAUGCGGUAGUAGGUGAUACCGGCGAAGGGGGAAAACAUUCGGGAAAGUAUUCCCGGUGUUUCGCGUUUCCGGACAGAUGAACCAGAGGGGGAAAGUUGCGUGUUCGAUAUGUUAGGGAUGUGUGGCGGACGAACGGGCUGCGUAUCCGGAUUCGUCUCGUCGUUCUGAGCAACUUUCAUGUAGAAAGUAUUUUCAUCCGAGUUACGGAUUAUUUUAUAUGAUUUUCUAAAUAUUUAAUCAUUUUCUGAUUUUAAUUAUUUAUUUAAAUCCAACAUUAUCCAGAACAGUGAAUGAUGACGCAUGCAUCACAUCAGAGUGAUGUCAGAAGGUCAACUGGUCGGUUGACCAGUCAAACCAGACAGGUGGGUCCAUUGGGACCCACAUGUCAUUGUCAGGGGCACUAACACGGGGUUUAGACUAACUAAAUGGGUUAAUUAGCGGGUGGGGCCCAGUAGUUAGUGAGAGAUUAAGAUUUUAAUUAACUAAUUUAAUUAAUUAGCAAUUUAUCUAUUUAUUUUUAUUCGUUUAUGGCGUGGCCCGCAUGUCAUAGACACAGGGGAGCCACGUUAGCGCGGUUGACUUUGGUCAACAUGGCCAGUUGGGGCCCCUAGGCCCACAGGCAGUGACCCAGGGGUGGGGCCGCCGAGCCACGCAGAUGGCCGGCGCCAGACUUGCUCCGGUGGCCUCCCGCGAUGAAGGGCGCCGACGAGCCUCGGGAUUUCGCCACAUCGUCCCAAAACAGGCGCGGGCAGGCUCUUUGGAACGGCCUCUUCGCACCGCGUCCGACGGAGGGGAGCACGACGGCGGGGGUGGCCAGAAUGGUCGCCGGCAACAAUGUCAAGCGGAUGCCGAGGCUCGGCGAGUUCGAAGGCGAGGCUGCGGGGCAUGGUUCGUCGUGGGGCGGGGUGCGUUCGAACGCAGAGACGAAGCCGCGUCGAACGGUAGUGAUACCAUGGGCGGAGAUGUCGUGUAGCGACGGCGGCGAGCGGCGCGGCGGACGCCGGCGUUCGGCCGCGAGAGGGAAACAGCGAUGCGACGCAUUGGCAAGUACGCAAAAUGGCCAGGGGCCCCUACGUGCACGUGCGAGCACAAAGGGCACGAGCCCAGGACCAAAUGGUCACCGGACGGCUGCCGGCGACGAGCGCGUGCGGCGACGCGCUCGGGCAAGUUGGGCGGCGCAUUCAACUUGCGAACGGCGUCGAGAAAGAGAGGGGAGGAAGCAGGGGCUCACGAGCGGCACACACGGUGGCCCUUGGGGGUUUAGUAGCAGCAGAGACGACGGCGCUCGUCGGAGACGCACCGGGGAUCCGAGGAAGAAGAGGAGGCCGGGGCAGCGUUCGUGGGCGCCCAGCGUCCUGCGGCUCGUUGGGGAGGUGUAGUCAAGGGAGGUGGAGCGAGCGAACACGUCGGAGAGGUGCGGAGGUCACGGUGGCUGCGAGUUCUACGGCGGCGAGGCCAUGGCGGAGCUCGGAUGCGGUGGGGAAUGAGGGGGAGAGCGAGGUGGAUCUGAGGGGGAAGGCGCAGGGGCCGAGAGGGAGAGCGGGGUGAGUGGGAGAUGGGAUCGAGGAGGCGGGGGCCGUGGCGGCCUUAUCCCCUGCCGGCGUCGGUGCCGGCGAGGCGGUUGGGCGGGAGCACGCCCCUGUUCUGACCCGGGUCGGGGGAACAGGGAAGGGAGACGAGCCACCGGGGGAACGGGCUGGGUCGGCCGGAUGGGCCAGGUGGGCCGGCCUGGCUGUGAGCUGGGCCGUCUGGUCCAGGGAGGGGGGUUCUUUUCCUUUUGUUCUAUUUUCACUUUUUAUUUUUAUUUAUUUUAUUUCUGUUUUAUUUCAUUUUAAAAUAUUUAGGCACUUUCUAAAAAAUUGUUUUCUCCACAAUAAUUACCAGUGCAAUAUUUGGCACCCACCGAACAUUUUUGUUUCAAGGUUAGAAAACUUUUGUUGUUUGCCAUAUUUUGAAUUGAUUUUUGAAUCGGUUUUGAACUAACAAAAGAUUAGCAACAGUAACGGAGCUGACAUGGCAUCAUUAGUAGAGUUUCACUGUAGCUUAAUCAUCCGGGCGUUACAAAUCUCCUCCACUACAAGAAAUCUCGUCCCGAGAUUUAGGAGGUAGAAGGAAACAGUGCGGGGUAUUCAUCACGUAGGCGAUCCUCGCGUUCCCAAGUGGCUUCAUCUUUAGAAUGGUGCGACCACUAGACUUUGAGGAACUUGAUCGCCUUCUGACGUGUGCGGCGUUCAGCUUGGUCGAGAAUGCGAACCGGAUGCUCUUUAUAAGAGAGGUCCUAUUGCAAUUCGAGCACUUCAUGAUCCACUGCUCGGAUUGGGUCCUUGAAGCAACGGCGGAGCUGUGACACGUGGAACACAUCGUGAACCUGAGAAAGGUUCGGCGGAAGCUCCAGUUGAUAUGCCACUUUUCCAUGCCUUUCCAGAAUAGUGAAUGGGCCAAUAUAGAGAGGAGCUAGCUUGCCCUUGAUCCCGAAGCAGUGAGCACCCUUCAUUGGUGUAACUCGAAGAUAGGCCUUUUCGCCAGGUUGAUAGACCAUGUCUUUAUGAUGACGGUCAUACUGACUCUUCUGACGCGACUGAGCAGUCUUGAGAUUCUCGCGAAUAAUGCGGACUUGUUCUUCGGCAUGUUGGAUAAUAUCCGGACCAAAGAGUGGACGUUCCCCAGUUUCUGACCAGUUCAUAGGGGUUCGGCACUUUUGUCCAUAUAACACUUCGAAGGGGGCCAUCUUCAAACUAGCUUGAUACCUAUUAUUAUAAGAGAACUUAGCAUACGGGAGAGAUUCCUCCCAUUUCUUGCCGAAGGAAAUAACACAAGCUCAAAGCAUGUCUUCGAGAACUUGGUUGACACGUUCAACUUUCCCUUGCGACUGAGGAUGAAAUGCAGUACUGAAUGACAGAUGACUUCCCAUAGCUUCUUGGAAACUAGCCCAGAAUCUUGAAGUGAAUAAGCCGCCAUGGUCUAAGCUGAUAACCAAUGGAAUACCGUGGAGUGAAACAAUCCUGGACAUAUAGAGAGUUGCCAGCUGACUAGCAGUGAUCGUUUCUUUGACCGCCAGAAAAUGUGCAACCUUAGAAAGCCGGUCAAUGACGACAAGAAUAGCGUCAUUACCUUUCUGCGAUUUGGGAAACCCAGUGACGAAGUCCAUUUCAACAUGGUCCCAUUUCCAUUCAGGAAUAGAGAUAGGUUGCAGAGUUCCAGCAGGCCUUUGAUGUUCUGCUUUGAUACGACGGCAAACGUCACACUCAGCAACAUAACGAGCAAUGUCUUGCUUCAUAUUAGACCACCAGAAUCUUUGACGAAUGUCUUGGUACAUCUUGGUGCUACCGGGAUGAAUAGACAAAGGCGUAUCAUGAGCCUCUUUCAUAACCUCCUGUGUCAUAUCCAGGUUUUUCUCUGAACAUGGCACCACUAAGCGGCCUUUGAAGUACAAAGUGCCAUCAUCAGCAACAGUGAAGAAUGAGGGCUUUCCUUCAGCGAGGUAGCGUUUAAUCUUCUCAACUUGAGAGUCAUACUUCUGAAUUCUCUUGAUGGAGUCCAAGAGAUCUGGUUCGACAGCUUAUAUUGAGGGAACCCUGGGUAACAACACGGAGGUUCAUCUUGCGAAAAUCCUUAGGGGGGAGCGAGUGCACCCGGAGGAACAAUAUGGAGGUUCAGCUUUCUGAAUUCUUCAACAAGCGAGGCUGAACUUUGUGAACCUGGAGGUGGUUGCAGUAAGACUUGCGGCUCAAGGCAUCAGCCGUUACAUUAGCCUUGCCUGGUGUAUCGGAAAUACCCACGUCAAAGUCUGCAACAAUCUCCAUCCAUCUCUGCUGACAGAGGUUCUGGUCUGGCUGAGUAAACAGAUACUUCAGACUUUGGUGGUCGGUGAAGUCUCGCAACGAUUACCGAGAAGGUAAUGUCGCCACUGCUUCAGUGCAUGAAUGACAGCAGCAAGCUCGAGAUCGUGAACUGGGUAGUUCUCUUCGUGAGGGCGCAAUUGACGAGAGGCAUAAGCAAUCACUUUGCGGUCUUGCAUUAGGACACAGCCUAAUCCUUGACGGGAAGCGUCGCAGUAAAUGACGAAGUCCUUCUUAGUAUCAGGUGGAGCAAGCACUGGGGCAGAAGUCAACUUGUCUUUGAGUGCCUGGAAACUUUCCUGACAUUUGUCUGUCCAUUGGAACUUGACGCCCUUAUGCAACAGGUUAGUCAGAGGCCUGGCGAUCUUGGAGAAGUUCUCAACGAAUCGACGGCAAUAGCUGGCGAGACCGAGAAAACUUCUGACUUGCUUGACAUUCUUCGGAGGAGUCCAAUCGAGAAUAGCCUAGACUCGUUUAGGGUUGACGGCAAUACCAUCCUUAGAGAUGACAUGCCCAAGAUAGGUUACUUCGGGUAGCCAGAAUUCACAUUUGGAGAACUUGGCAUAUAGUUGAUGCUCUCGUAGCUUUUCCAGCACAAGACGAAGAUGUUCAGCAUGUUCUUCUUCGUUCUUGGAAAAUACAAGGAUAUCAUCCAGAUAAACCACGACGAACUUGUCGAGGUAUUCCAUGAAUAUAUAGUUCAUCAGACGAGAGAAGGUGGGUGGAGCAUUGGUUAAGCCGAAAGACAUGACGGUGUACUCAUAUGAACCAUAUCGAGUCACGAAGGCGGUCUUUGGGAUAUCCUCUUCACGAACACGGAUCUGGUGGUAACCCAACCUCAAGUCGAGUUUAGAGAACACUGAUGAACCAACCAGUUGAUCAUACAGAUCAUUGAUCCGAGGAAGAGGAUAUUUAUUCUGAAUGGUAGCUUGGUUUAUAGGACGGUAGUCUUGAACUAAUCGAUUUGUCCCAUCCUUCUUCUUGACAAAGAGAGAAGGUGCUCCCCAAGGAGAGCAACUUGGGCGAAUGAAACCUUUGCGAAGAGAUUUGUCGAUUUCCUCCUUAAGCUCAAGGAGUUCAUGCGGCGGCAUCUUGUAGGGUCAUUUGGCUAUAGGAGUGGUGCCUGGUUUCAAGUCGAUGAUGAGUUCGACAGCUCUAGCAGGGGGAAUCCCUGGGAGUUCUUCAGGAAAGACAUCUUGGAAUUCGCGAAUGACAGGAAUGUUUUCAAUGCCCUCGAGUGGUGCAGCGUUCAAUGCAUUCAACGCAUAAAGCCUUGCCUCGGCAUUCUGAACCAGACAAGCAUUGUAGCUUAUUAUUUCAUCGGAAGGGUGUAGCAGAUGGACGGUCUUAGUGGCGCAAACUAUAGAAGCAGUAUGCGCUUUCAACCAAUCCAUUCCCAGAAUGAGAUCAAUGCUACAGGACAUCAAUAUGAUGGGAGAGACAAGGAAUUCCAGUCCUUCGAUUUCAAUGGGGACGUCGUUGCAAAUCAUGGAGGUCUGACAUUGGCCCGCACGGGUGUGCACUAAUAGCGAAGCGUUCAUGUCCUCACAUUUAAUGUCGUGCAAGCAUGCAAAAUCUUCUGACAUGAAUGAAUGUGAUGCACCUGUAUCAAAUAAAACGGAUGCUGGUACUGAAUUUACGAGGAGUGUACCCAUCACAGUAGCAGGCUGGUCUUGAGAUUCAUUUAGAAGAAACGUGGUUGGCAUGAACACGACCAUAAGACUUGGUACUGUUGUUGCGGGGCUGGUUGCUUCCACGGGCAGUUGCUGGAAGGGCCAGUUGAUUCUGGUUCUGGUUGCAUUCUCUAGCACGGUGUCUUGGUUGACCACACCUGAAGCACAAACCAUUAUUGGGAGCGGGAGCAGGAGCUCGGGGUGGUGGUGCUGGAAGCCUUGGCUGCCUAGAUGGUGGAGGAGGCAGACGAGGUGCAGCAUAGGUCUGCCUUGGGGCAGGUGCAGUUGGCUGGUACAUGCUAUUGGGAAUCCAUAUCUUAUGCUUCUGCGAGGGCGGGCCCGAAGAUGAGCCCAUGUCACGGUUGCGCCUGUGAGAGCUCUGGUAUUCCUGCAGACCAGUUUCGACAUUGAUGGCCUUGUUUACCAAGGUGGCGAAAUCAGUAAAGUCAUGCACUAGAAGUGUGAGCUUGAUGUCAGCUUGAAGGCCAUCACGAAACUUCUCCCGUCUGCGUGCAUCAGUUGCAAUGUCCUCUUCAGCAUAGCGAGAAAAGUCCAGAAACUCCCGCUGAUAAGCUUCAACAGUUUUGUUGCCUUGGGUGAGGUUGCGGAACUCACGCUUCUUUCGGUCCAUGACUCCCUGGGGAAUGAAGCGGGCACGGAAAGCAGCUUGGAAGUCUGGCCAGGUGAUGAUUGUUCCAGCUGGUAGAGUACGCCUGUGGCUAUCCCACCAUUGAGCUGCGGGUCCCUUCAGGAAGAAGGAAGCAAAGGUGACAUAGCUGGCAGGGGCUACAUCAACAGACUCCAUUUCAUAGGUGAUGUCACGGAGCCAGUCAUCAGCAUCCAGAGGCUGAGUUGAGCUGCGGUACACAGUUGGGUUGAGGCGCAUGAAAUCCUGCACAGUCACUUGGGCUGGCUGCUGGUUCAUAUUGGGGCGAGGGAACUGAGCCAUCAUAUUUUCCAUGAACUGGCGAUUCAUCUCAAGCUGUUGGAUCAUACCAGCCAUGUACUCAGGCGGUGGUGGGGUGUUGCCACCAUGACCACGACCACCUGGUCUAACCAUCCUGCUAAUAUAUAACAGGGGUAGUUCAACAUUGAGAAAUUUGCAAGGACAAGAAUCAUUCAUGAUGAAACAUGCAUAAUGAAAGGAGCACGAUAGAUACUACAUAGUAGUCAGCAUAUCUUACAAAAGGGAUCAUGCAUAGAGUUCGGUACACAGAGUUCAGUACAUAGACUAAAGACAUCAUAGGCGGCACGCAGGCUCGCGGCGAAUGCAUCUAAUACUACUAAGCAAGACUACAUCAGUCCCAAGAGGAACUAUGGAGGUAGGUGUAGCCUGAAAGCUGGUAGUGUCACAUCAGGAAUUCCACAUCAGUAACCUGGGGUCCGCGGAUACUCUGGUGCAGAACCCGACGCUCAAGUGGUAGGAGAGGACCAAGUGCGGGAGAGUAGCCUCCCACAUCUGGCCAGCCGACACCCUGGGGCAUCACGGUCAUGGCUGGGUAGAUCGCAGAACGCGGCAGACUAUCAGAUCGGACAAGGGGGUGCAACAGCGUCAGAGCACGGUAAAGGUGCUGACGGGUGGUGUACAACUCGUGGCGAAGAGCUCAGUUAGCUCGAUCUAGCCCAUCAGCAUGCAGAACCAGGUUCUGAUGGUAGAAGGGCUCGCGGGUGACAGUGGAGUAGGCAGCAGUGUAGUAUCCCUCCGCACCAACAUCGGAUGCGAUAGCAAUGUGCCUGAAAGGGGAGGUGUCCAACUCCCGAUACUCUCCACGAAGACGUGUCAGAGCAGCAUAAGCAGCAUCGUGGACAUCCAUAUCGAUGGUCACUCCAACACCAUGGGCGGUGUGCAGCACAGUAGUGGAGUCAUACUCCCGAGAGUAGAGGUGGACGAUGGCACGGUGCUGCUCCUGGUUAAAGUCCUGGUACUCCUCGUAGACGGUGUACUCAGGGUGCCAGUGAUAACCCAGAUAGGUCAUCAUCUCAGCUAGCACAACAGGUGAUCCCGAGGCACCAACGGCCGUCGUGUGGCGCACGACCUGCCUCGUGGGUUCCAUCUGAAAGCAAACAUGUUUCAAAGGAGUCAAUGACAGUGUGGGAAUUGUUCAAAAUACUAUUCUAAGGAAUAACUAUGGCUUAUCCAACUUUGGGGUGAAUGUGGUCACGGGAUCCUAGUGUUAGAGUUAGUAAAUUCGUUUAACCCGAGUAGAAGAGAGUUCAGAGUCCCGGAGUAAAGGUCGAGGAGUAAAAGAUCCUAGUACCACCCAAUGGCGACGUGGGCCCGUAAGACACACAACCAUGUUAGUAAAAGUUUUUGCAAUGUCUAGACUCGACUUCGGCCAAGGAGUGUGGAAGGGGGAUUCCUACAGGCAGUCAGCUCUGAUACCAACUUGUGACGCCCCCGAUUCAAUCGUACACUAAUCAUGCACGCAAACGUGUACGAUCAAGAUCACGGACUCACGGGAAGAUAUCACAACACAACUCUAAAAUAAAAAUAAGUCAUACAAGCAUCAUAAUACAAGCCAGGGGCCUCGAGGGCUUGAAUACAAGUGCUCGAUCAUAGACGAGUCAGUGGAAGCAACAAUAUCUGAGUACAGACAUAAGUAAACAAGUUUGCCUUAAGAAGGCUAGCACAACCUGGGAUACAGAUCGAAAGAGGCGCAGGCCUCCUGCCUGUGAUCCUCCUAAACUACUCCUGGUCGUCGUCAGUGGCCUGCACGUAGUAGUAGGCACCUCUGGUGUAGUAGGAGUCAUCGUCGACGGUGGCGUCUGGCUCCUGGGCUCCAGCAUCUGGUUGCGACAACCAGGAAGAAAGGAAAGGGGAAAAGGGGGAUAAAAGCAACCGUGAGUACUCAUCCAAAGUACUCGCAAGCAAGGAUCUACACUACAUAUGCAUGGGUAUAUGUGUAAAGGGGCUAUAUCGGUGGACUGAACUACAAAAUGCCAGAAUAAGAGGGAGAUAGCUAAUCCUAUCGAAGACUACGCUUCUGGCAGCCUCCAUCUUGCAGCAUGUAGAAGAGAGUAGAUGGUAAGUUCACCAAGUAGCAUCGUAUAGCAUACUCCUACCCGGCGAUCCUCUCCUCGUCGCCCUAUUAGAGAGCGACCACCGGGUUGUAUCAGGCACUUGGAAGGGUGUGUUUUAUUAAGUAUCCGGUUCUAGUUGUCAUAAGGUCAAGGUACAACUCUGGGUCGUCCUUUUACCGAGGGACACGGCUAUUCGAAUAGAUAAACUUCCCUGCAGGGGUGCACCACAUAACCCAACACGCUCGAUCCCAUUUGGCCGGACACACUUUCCUGGGUCAUGCCCGGCCUCGGAAGAUCAACAUGUUGCAGCCCCACCUAGGCACAACAGAGAGGUCAGCACGCCGGUCUAAAUCCUAUGGCAUAGAGGUAUGGGCCCAUCGCCCAUUGCACACCUGCACCUUGCGUGGGCGGCCUGAAGCAGACCUAGCCUAGCAGGCAUUCCAGUCCAAUCCGGCGCGCGCCGCUCAGUCGCUGACAUCACGAAGGCUUCGGCUAAUACCACGACGCCGAGUGCCCAUAACUGUUCCCGCGUAGUUGGUUAGUGCGUAUAGGCCAGUGGCCAGACACAGAUCAAAUACCAAGAUCUCAUUAAGCAUGUUAUUAUGAAGUAACCACAAACGCCGACCAGGGCCAGGCCCACCUCUCGCCUAGGUGGUCUCAACCUACCCUGUCGCUCCGCCACAAAGAUCCACUCGCGGGUACUCCAACAGCCGACCCGACUUUAGUCACCACAUGUAUCACGUAAAGUAUAUAAGUAUAUACCCGUGAUCACCUCCCGAGUGAUCACGGCCCGAUAGUAUAGCAAGGCAGAUGGACAAGAAUGUAGGGCCACAGAUGGAAUACUAGCAUCCUAAACUAAGCAUGUAGGAUUGCAGGUAAAGGUAACAACAGUAGUAGCAAGGACAGGCUAUGCAGCAGAAUAGGAUUAACGGAAAGCAGUAACAUGCUACACUACUCUAAUGCAAGCAGUAUAGAGAAGAAUAGGCGAUAUCUGGUGAUCAAGGGGGGGGCUUGCCUGGAAGCUCUGGCAAGGAGGGGUCGUCAACAACGUAGUCGGCCGGGGCACCAGCAGCGGCGUCAGUCUCGUAGUCUACCGGAGAGAAGAGGGGGAAGAAACAAUGAAUAUAAUGCAAACAGAUGCAUAACGAUGCAUGACAAGACAAUGAGCGUUGCUAGGCGUGCCCUAAUGCGGUAGUAGGUGAUACCGGCGAAGGGGGGAAACACCCGGGAAAGUAUUCCUGGUGUUUCGCGUUUCCGGACAAAUGAACCGGAGGAGGAAAGUUGUGUGUUCGAUGUGUUAGGGAUGUGUGGCGGACGAACGGGCUGCGUAUCCGGAUUCGUCUCGUCGUUCUGUGCAACUUUCAUGAAGAAAGUAUUUUCAUCCGAGUUACGGAUUAUUUUAUAUGAUUUUCUAAAUAUUUAAUCAUUUUCUGAUUUUAAUUAUUUAUUUAAAUCCAACAUUAUCCAGAACAGUGAACGAUGACGCAGGCAUGACAUCAGAGUGAUGUCAGAAGGUCAACUGGUUGGUUGACCAGUCAAACCAGAUAGGUGGGUCCAUUGGGACCCACAUGUCAUUGUCAGGGGCACUAACAGGGGGUUUAGACUAACUAAAUGGGUUAAUUAGUGGGUGUCGGUCUCAAAACCGGUGGAUCUCGGGUAGGGGGUCCCGAACUAUGCGUCUAAGGCGGAUGGUAACAGGAGGCGGGGGACACAAUGUUUACCCAGGUUCGGGCCCUCUCGAUGGAGGUAAUACCCUACUUCCUGCUUGAUUUAACUUGAUGAUACGAGUAUUACAAGAGUUGAUCUACCAUGAGAUCGUAGAGGCUAAACCCUAGAAGCUACCUGUGGUAUGAUUGUUCUUGUCCUACGGACUAAACCCUCCGAUUUAUAUAGACACUGGAGGGGGCUAGGGUUACAUAGAGUCGGUUACAAGGGAGGAGAUCUACAUAUCCGUAUUGCCAAGCUUGCCUUCCACACCAAGGAGAGUCCCAUCCGAACACGGGACGAAGUCUUCAAUCUUGUAUCUUCAUAGUCCAACAGUCCGGCCAAAGGAUAUAGUCCGGCUGUCCGAGGACCCCCCAAUCCAGGACUCCCUCAGUACCCCCUGAACCAGGCUUCAAUGACGAUGAGUCCGGCGCGCAGAUUGUCUUCAGUAUUGCAAGGCGGGUUCCUCCUCCGAAUACUCCAUAGAAGAUUUUGAACACAAGGAUAGUGUCUGGCUCUGCAAAACAAAUUCCACAUACCACCGUAGAGAGAAUAAUAUUUUCCACAAAUCUAAUCUGCUGACGCAUUCUGGAGCAUGACAUCACACCACGGCCCGACCAUUAUUCGAACCGUUUUUUCACAACCAGCCACUGCACAUAUUGCGAGGCAGUUUCCUUGGCACGUCUUGUCGAAGCAGAGAUCGUGUCCAUUUUUUCAUGGGAUUCUCAUCAAUACGGGUAUGGGUAACCCAAUCGUGCAUGUUGGUAUGAGUCCUCGAUUUUAGGCAAGUCCCAAACGGCCACGCGGAGGACGCUUGAUAUUCAUCCUCUUUAUAAAGGGGCCUAGGCCUGUCCCCUUCUUCUCGCGCUCAUCGAAUCCUUCCCCCUCCUCGAGUUCCAACACCCAAGGCUCAGGCUAGGCGCUUAGGACCUACAAUCAUGUCCGGAUCCAACCUUCAAGGUCGGUGGAUGCCCUCCUCCGUCAUAGAGGAGGACAUCAAGAAGCUAAGAGAAGCUAGGUAUUUGACCGGCGAAAUCUCGCACAGGCUGCCUGCUCGAGGGCAGGUCAUUCCCACUCCCGAACCUGGCGAGAGUGUCGUAUUCGUCUCCCACUUCCUCCGAGGGCUAGGUUUCAGUCUAGAUCCCUUUGUCAGAGGGCUCAUGUUCUACUAUGGGCUCGAUUUCCAUGAUCUGGCUCCGAAUUCCAUCCUUCACAUCUCGUCGUUCAUCGUCGUGUGUCAAGCCUUCCUCCGCAUUAUCCCACACUUCAGCUUAUGGCUCGAGACCUUCAAUGUGAAGCCGAAGAUGAUUGAGGGGCGACACGCAGAGUGCGGAGGUGCCGUAAUAAGCAAAGGCGCCGAUGUUCCAUGGCCAAAGGUGUAACACCCCGCAUGUAACUUGCCAUAUUUGUAACUCCGACUCUUGCCAUUUUCGGCUAUGUGCUAUGAUAUUCCCUUCGUGGUCGGGUUUUGUUUUUCGUUUUGUAUUUUGUUCAUGUCAUGCAUAUCAUAUCAUGUCAUCAUGUGCAUUGCAUUUGCAUACGUAUUCGUCUCAUGCAUCCGAGCAUUUUCCCCGUUGUCCGUUUUGCAAUCCGGCGCUCCUAUCUCCUCCGGUGCACCCCUCUUGUUUUCUUUCGUGUGCGGGUGUCAAACUUUCUCGGAGUGGACCGAGGCUUGUCGAGUGGCCUUAGUAUACCACCCGGAGACCACCGGUCAAGUUUCGUUCCAUUUGGAGGUCGUUUGGUACUCCAACGGUUAACCGGGCGUCCGCAAAGUCCAUUUAUGUGUCCAGCAAAAACCCUCCUCAAAACCAGCCCAAAACCCACUAAACUCUCUUCCAUGCUCUAGGUCGUUCGAUCACGAUCGUGUGGGCGAAAACCGCACCUCAUUUGGAAACUCCUAGCUCCCUCUACCUAUAAAUAUGUGAGCAUCCCGAAAUAACAUUCGCAGUCCCCGAAACCCUAAAACUCUCCUCUCCGCGGGCGGACGCGUCCAGCGCCGCCGGACGAAAUCGCCACCGCGCCCGCAGCCAAUCCGGGGCCGACACGUGUCCCGCCGCCGCCCGUACCGCGCCCUCCCGCACGCGCCUNNNNNNNNNNNNNNNNNNNNNNNNNNNNNNNNNNNNNNNNNNNNNNNNNNNNNNNNNNNNNNNNNNNNNNNNNNNNNNNNNNNNNNNNNNNNNNNNNNNNNNNNNNNNNNNNNNNNNNNNNNNNNNNNNNNNNNNNNNNNNNNNNNNNNNNNNNNNNNNNNNNNNNNNNNNNNNNNNNNNNNNNNNNNNNNNNNNNNNNNNNNNNNNNNNNNNNNNNNNNNNNNNNNNNNNNNNNNNNNNNNNNNNNNNNNNNNNNNNNNNNNNNNNNNNNNNNNNNNNNNNNNNNNNNNNNNNNNNNNNNNNNNNNNNNNNNNNNNNNNNNNNNNNNNNNNNNNNNNNNNNNNNNNNNNNNNNNNNNNNNNNNNNNNNNNNNNNNNNNNNNNNNNNNNNNNNNNNNNNNNGCCGCCAGCCCCGCGCCAGGAUCCGGCCGCCGUGCGCCGCGUGCCCCGUCGCCGUGCUGCCGCCCCGCCUGUGUCGCCGCACUGCCCGGCGACCGCGCCCACCUCUCCGGUCGCUCCUCCUCCUCACCGCGGCCUCCCGCCGGCGAGCGCCAUCGGAGCCCUCGAGCUUCUUCCCCGAUCUGGAUCGAGCAACUGUGAGCGUUGACUUCCCCCCGUUCCCCGUUUUUUUUCCAAGUCAUUGAUUUCUUACAGCAAAGUGCUUAUGUUCCUCGGUGCGUAACUCCUUGCAUGUAGCUCCGAUUUGCGCAUGUAAUAUGUCAAAUUGUUCGCCUCGUGAUGCUCUUCAUUUUGUUCAAUUGCACCAUGUUCAUUAGAGGUCAUCUUGAUGCCCAAAUCUCUGUUGGAAGAGGGCUAGUUGCUGUUAUCCUCUGAUUCUUAUCAGAACUUGGAGAUUUGUCAUUUUUGUAUCUUUAAUUCUAUGCAUCUUAUGGGCAUGAGCUCUACAUGUGUUUUGUUAUAUGCCAUGUCAUAUUUCCAAGGGUGUAUGCCAUGUAUUUUUGUGAUCUCUGUGGUGACUAGCACAAGCAUGCAAAAUAGGCUCCGUAAUGUUUCUGAUUUCAGGGAGUGAUUUCUCCAAGUCCUUGUCUGCUGUUAUUUUGUUGCCAUGUAAACUUGAUACUACAUAGAGAUCCAUGCAUAUUUUGGAGAUGUUCAGUAAGUAUGUUUUGUAGAUGUAGUUGUAAUUGAUCCAUUCCUGCCCUUUUUUGCAAUUAUGGAGUACCAUAGCAUGACUCGAUCUUGCUCUACUUUUGCUAUAAAAUAUUUCUGGCAGAUUCUCAACAUGAUAUGCAAUUUUGCCAAGUUUAUUUUAGUUGAUCCAUACAUGCUAUACUUUUGUUCUUGCCAUGGAUAGCUUCACAAACAUGCCAUCUUGCUGUAGGUAUGCUAGUUUUGUCAUGCAUUGCUCUGUAGUGAGUGCAUCAAGCUCACAAAGAGGCCUUCAUAUUAUUGUUUCUGCCAUGCUCUGUUUUCUGCUAAGUCUGAAACCUGAUAACGAAACUUGCUAUGUUUACAUGCUUGCCAUCAUAUCUUAUGGUCCUUUUUUUGUCUUAUGGUCAGUAAGGGACUUUUGUCAUAUGCAUUUAGUACAACACUGCCAUGCCUUGUUUUGCUAUGUUAAGUUCCUGUAGCAUGUUGUUUUCGUGCUCUGAACAUUGCUACCUGAUACUGUUUUCUGCCUUGUCCAGUUUUUCACCAAGUCUGUGAACCUGUUAUCUUUUGCACUUUUGCCAUGCUUGUUUGAGCUUUAUAUGUUGUGAUCUAGCCGUAGCUCAGUGUUCAUCUUUUGUCAAGCAUCUCCUGUAGAUUACUGUCAUAUGCUUUGUUGCUAUGUUGGAGUGCUGUAGCAUUGUUGCUUGUUGCAUUUUAAGUGCUAUCAUGCUGUUUAUCACAGAUUCAUGUCAUUCUUGUUUUGCUUGCCAUUUGCAAACCGUGCAUCCGUUUCCGGUGAUCUUUAUAUCGAUUUCGACCGAAAUCAUCUCAUCUUUCCAGUGGCAUGCUUGGUUUGCCAAGUUACUGCCUUGUUCAUCAUUUUCCUUCCGGAGCACGCAUAUGCAUCGCAUAUCAUAUCUUGCAUAUCAUACAUGUUUUGCAUCAUGUUGCUUGUGCAUUUCUCGUGGUUGAUUGUGGUUCCGUUUGUUUGUGUUCUUGUCUUGGGUAGAGCCGGGAGACGAGUUCGUGAACGAGGAACCUGUUGAGUACGCUUACGAGGAUCAAGCUUUCGACAACUCUGAGAACCUUGCAGGCAAGAUGACCACCCCUCGAAAUCACUUCUAUCUUUGCUAUGCUAGUUGUUCACCCUAUUGCCAUGCUACGCUACCUAUCACUUGCUAUAUCUUGUCUCCCAUUUUGCCAUGUCAGCCUCUAACCAUCCUUUCCUAGCAAACCGUUGUUUGGCUAAGUUACCGCUCUUGCUCAGCCCUUCUUAUAGCGUUGCUAGUUGCAGGUGAAGUUGAAGUUUGUUCCAUGUUGGAACAUGGAUUUGUUGGGAUAUCACAAUAUCUCUCAUUUAAUUAAUGCAUCUAUAUAUUUGGUAAAGGGUGGAAGGCUCGGCCUUAUGCCUGGUGUUUUGUUCCACUCUUGCCGCCCUAGUUUCUAUGAUACCGGGAUUAUGUUCCUUGAGUUUGCGUUCCUUACGCGGUCGGGUGAUUUAUGGGACCCCCUUGACAGUUCGCCUUGAAUAAAACUCCUCCAGCAAGGCCCAACCUUGGUUUUACCAUUUGCGACCUAUGCCUUUUUCCCCCGGGUUUUCUAGAGCCCGAGGGUCAUCUUUAUUUUAAACCCCCGGGCCAGUGCUCCUCUGAGUAUUGGUCCAAACUGUCAGUCGCCGGUGGCCACCAGGGGCAACUCUGGGCUGGCCUAUCGGAAGCUUGGACAAUCCGGUGUGCCCUGAGAAUGAGAUAUGUGCAGCUCCUAUCGGGAUUUGUCGGCACAUUCGGGCGGCUUUGCUGGUCUUGUUUUACCAUUGUCGAAAUGUCUUGUAAACCGGGACUCCGAGACUGAUCGGGUCUUUCCGGGAGAAGGUUUAUCCUUCGUUGACCGUGAGAGCUUAUGAUGGGCUAAGUUGGGACACCCCUGCAGGGUAUUAUCUUUCGAAAGCCGUGCCCGCGGUUAUGAGGCAGAUGGGAAUUUGUUAACAUCCGGUUGUAGAGAACUUGUCACUUGACCCAAUUAAAAUACAUCAACUGUGUGUGUAGCCGUGAUGGUCUCUUCUCGGCGGAGUCCGGGAAGUGAACACGGUCUGAGUUAUGUUUGACGUAAGUAGGAGUUCAGGAUCACUUCUUGAUCAUUACUAGAAGACGACCGUUCCGUUGCUUCUCUUCUCGCUCUUUCUUGUGAUUGUUAGCCACCAUAUAUGCUUAUUGCUGCUGCAGCUCCACCUCAUUACACCAUCCUUUCCUAUAAGCUUAAAUAGUCUUGAUCUCGCGGGAGUGAGAUUGCUGAGUCCUCGUGACUCACAGAUUCUACCAAAACAGUUGCAGGUGCCGAUGAUGCCAGUGCAGAUGAUGGGAUCGAUCUCAAGUGGGAGUUCGAUGAGGAACGUGGUCGUUACUAUGUGUCUUUUCCUAAUGAUCAGUAGUGGAGCCCAGUUGGGACAAUCGGGGAUCUAGCAUUUGGGGUUGUCUUAUUUUCAUCUGGAUCUUGACCGUAGUCGGUCUAUAUGUUUGUAUUUUGGAUGAUGUUUGAUUUAUAUCUAUGUAUUGUGUGAAGUGGCGAUUGUAAGCCAACUCUUUAUCCCAUUCUUGUUCAUUACAUGGGAUUGUGUGAAGAUGACCCUUCUUGCGACAAAACCACUAUGCGUUUAUGCCUCUAAGUCGUGCCUCGACACGUGGGAGAUAUAGCCGCAUCGUGGGCGUUACAAAAGGGUUCCUUCCCGGAGGUGUCCAGUUUAUGGCAACGGGAGUGGUUUUAUAUCACAGUUCCCCGGGGUACUAAGUGGGUAGCCCCCCUGCCUUCCGCUCGGCCCCCCGCCACAACUGGCGUCAUUGGUCAACAAGGGGCUGGCCUGGGGGCCAGCAAAUGAUAUGCCGUCAUUGCAGAGUCGCAUCCGAGAUCUCCUCGAGAGAGAUGUCAGCCUUGUUUAGGUAAUGCAAGUUAUGCUAGUUCGUCGAGCCCUGCCUUGCAAACGUCGACCACUCCGUAUGUGGGAGUUCAACCCGGAAGGACCGCGAACUAUUCAGCACUUCUUCGGCGUGACGCUCGAAGAGAUGUACAGAUCGUUCUUCGGAUCACAAAUAGAGUGUCCGGACACCUCCGAGGAUGCGGGUCUGAACCGCAAUCGUCCAGACACUCAAGUAAGUAAUUCCGCGGCCGAACACGUUGUCUUUUAAUUUAUCACAACAUCAUUCUGAAAAGUCGCCUUUUGACCAGGACUGGAUAAAAAAAGGCAAAGAUGAUCAGGUGUCCGGCCCCCCUUCCCGAGGGCUCACCGGAUCCUGUACUAGCCAGGAUGCUUGAGCUUGCGCCUUAUCGAGCGCCAUCAGGGGAAGGCAAAGGGAGGAACAAAGAAGCCGAGAGCGAGCCUCACUCACUAUUCAUCCAAACCGGGGGAAUUAGUGCCUCCGCGAAGGAGGAUAACCGGGAGGAAGAAUCUAAAAUUCCCUCUCCCAAGGGAAGGAAGAGGACCGCCUCCGAAGACUUGGAAGUAAAGGUCUCCAAGAGAGGGAAGAAUCCUUUGUCGGAGGGUCCUACCCCGGAGGGCAUCCUUACCACACAGUACUCGCAAGGGGACCAGCCCUCUACCGAGCUGUAAGUAAACGAAAGUACUUUAUAGUAAAUAUAUCCUGCUUCAUUUCUGAGACGAUAACCAAGGCGUGUAUCUUGUAGUUCGGAUCAUAGCCCUUCUCGACAGAGUUCGUCUUCAGGGGAUCUUCUUCCAGAGAUGAUGGAGAGCGAAACACCUCCCCAUGCCUCCCCGCCUCGUGAAGUGGGCGACCCUGAGGUGUCGUCACGGAGGGUUUCUCCUGAUCCGCCAAGGCCAGAAGGUAAACCUUCGGCCAACCGAAGUCCGGGGUAUUCGGCUCCUAAGGAGAGCAACAGAAAGAGUCCGGAACCGUCCGGUGUGCGAUCAGACGCACUGAUGAAUCUUCUGGAGCAAACGGCUAUCUCAGAAACACAUCGUGCGCUAAUGGGCACGGUGGUUGAGAGGAUCUCAGCCGCCGAAAGCGGGUUGCAUGAAGCUUUUAUGAGUCUGCUGAAAGGCUUUGAGGUACGUGAAGUAAUAUAUAUUUUUUGGACGAUACCGCACACGCUAGGUGUGGCCUAUGCAGAUAGUAGCCCCUGAGACUCUGGUUGCUGUCGAAAAAGACGGCAAAUAUAGGAUCAUAGUCCCAGGCAAUAACCGUGCUGCUUUCAUGUGCAGGUGGCUGCGGGUCCGGUGGCUAGCCGGACUGGUGAGUUUGCCGAACUGAAGCGGCAACUUGAUGCGGCAGAUGCCGACAUCGUGCUUGUAAACAAGCGGCUUGACGAGGCACAGGUUAUGUAUUCUCCUAGGAUCAAUACAUAUUAAGAGGAGCAUGAUGCUAGUAUCUGUAAUAUGAUGUGAUUGCAGAUGGAGCUGUCGCCGUGGAGACCCUUCGGGCAGAACUUGCCCGAGCCAAGGAACAAGCCAGGAAGAGUGAUGCGGCCGCCCUAAAGGCGGUCGAAGAGCUAAGAGCCGAACAGGCUGCCCAUUGCCAGAGCAAAGAGAAAAUAGCCAAGAUGGUUGUUGAGUUGAAAGAUGCCGCCGACCGGUAUGAGCUUCUUGAAAAGGAGGAGCUGAAGGAGGCCAUGGAAGCGGCCAAGGAAACCCGCUCGCAAAUCAGAGCGGUGAAGGAAGAACUCCGUCAAGCCAGAGAUAUUGCGGCUGGGAAGCCCUUUUUGUUGCGGACGAGGUUCGGAGACCCGAAGUAUGCCCCUCUGGAUAAAUUAUGGAGUUCUGCAGACGCGUACUUGGAUUUAGCAGCGAGUGCCGCUGAUGCGACCAAGUUUUUCAAAGAUCAGAAGGAUCAUGUAGUGGAAAGGUUGUUCUGGUCACAGUUCCGCACUCCAACGCGUCCGCUGCUGUUAAAUGAACAAAUGGUCGAGUGGGCCGAGCUCCAUAGGUUGUCCGGACUUGCUAUGAGGUCCGUCGUGGAUCACCUUUAGCCGGAGGGACUGAGGCCGAAUAGCUAUUUUGGCCUAGUGCAACAAUUCCUUGGUGUUGUGCCACAUAUCGACGCUGUGAAGAGGUCGGCGUGCAUAGAGGGUGCACGGAUGGCUCUUGCCCGUGUCAAGACAUAUUGGGCAGAGAUGGAGGCCACCACUAUUGCAUCCCAGAGUUCGGCGGUAGGCCGGGAUCGGCCGAGCACUAUUUUGAGGAAGUCUUAGAAGGCGCUCGUGUAAUAGAGGCUCAGUGCUCGAAGCGUAUCAUGUUCUAGUGACAUGUAUCUCAAUUGUAAGAACAAUGCUUAUUAAAUUAUAAAGGUUGUGUUUAUACUUUUGCCUGAAAGUAUUAUGAUGCCUCCUGUGCGGCCGUUUAUGUAUAUAUGUAUAUAACCUGAAAGUUUGCAGUCGUCGGCUUCAGCCCCCACGCAUAUAAUGCGGGGGUGUUCGCAAAAAACGCGUAUUCACACUUGAUCCAACGUCUUGGUCCAUUAAGGAGGUGAUAGCGCAGCGAACGAGGCAAUCGGACUAUAUUGCUUUAACACUUUCACUUAGCCAUAGGAGUUUGACGGUGGGACUACUAUAUAGCCCCUGGUACCUCCGCGCUCAUCCGAAUACGGGGCGCGUACAUACAUGACCGGGAAACGGCCCUUUGUUAAUGCGGAGGAAUCCCGAAGAUUCCGCUAAGUCAUCGAGUGGUUGACCAGUCUCGCGCUUUAUCAUGACAGUCAGUUUUUGGCUUUCUCUACUGAGGUGCUCGUCUGGAUGAACCAGGGCACAAUCGCAGUAGUUCUCCCGGUGCCACCUUAGCCGAUAGAGCGGAACAUAAGGUAGCAAAACACGGGAGCCGGGCAAACCCAACAUUUGACCAAAGACAUGAUUCGGAGUUGAUGCAUAUAAGGCCAAACUCGUGACGCCAAACACUCCCUAAGGUAUUCGGUCUUUACAACAUAUACCGAGCUGAAUAACGCCCUUGAUUAUGAUCCCUGAGUGUCCAGGUACGUGCAUCGUUCUGACGUGGCGAAAUGCCAAUAACGUCAGCAUCGCUCUCGGUUAUGCUGAGUAUCCGGAGGAUGUGAGGCAACAAGAGACAGUAAAAGAGGUUUACGCAGGGUCUUAAUCUAAAAAGAAACCUUUGAGCGGGGCCCUGCUGCACAUCUGCGCCUGUGUCUCCGUUGUGCCGUAUCCUGGAAGGGUGUAGCACGAUUACCAUCUGUAAAAGAGAAGAACUUAGGUGAAAGUUGUCGUGCGAAAAAAUUGGUUAUUCUCAAUAAACCAUUAGAAAUCAAGAUAAGUAAGGUCGAGCUGAACUGUAGUCCUUUUACAUGCGGGAAGCCCCUGGUGCCGCCUAUGAGGGUAAAUCCAUCGAACCAAUCUUAGGUAUAUCUAAGCUGUUACAGCUAGUGAUGUGCCGGACUCGUCUAGCCGUGUCCGUGGUCUUAACGACUGAUCAUUUAUUCUGGUUAGAGAGGCCGUUUAGUGUUCGGCUGCUAAAGCUGCCACACGUUCUUCCGCGCAUAAGGAACGCUUGAUAUUUCUGCUAAUUGUGAUGAUGCCAUGUGGAUCGGGCAUCUUAAGCUUAAGAGAAGCGUAAUGCGGUACUGCAUUAAAACGAGCAAAAGCUGCUCUUCCGAGUAGUGCUUGAUAGCCACUUCGGAAUGGAGCGAUGUCGAAGGUUAACUUUUUGCUUCGCAAGUUGUCGGGAGAACCGAAUACAACCUCUAGUACUAGAGAGCCCGUGCAGCGGGCCUCUGGGCCUGGUAUUACUCCCUUAAAGGUAGUAUUACUGUGGCUGAUUCUUGUCGGGUCUAUCCCCAUUUUGCGGAUUGUGUCCUGAUAUAUCAGAUUAAGACUACUGCCGCCGUCCAUAAGGACUCGUGUGAGAUGGUAUCCGUUUAUUAUUGGGUCUAACAUCAAGGCAGCCAAUCCUCCGUGCUGGAUACUUGUCAGGUGAUCCCUGCGAUCAAAAGUGAUCAGGCAGGCCGACCAGGGGUUGAACUUAGGGGUGACGGGCUCUACGGCGCGUGUGUCUCGGAGUGCAUGUUUGCUUCUCCUCUUCGUCACGUGAAUCAUGUUCACUGUUUUGACCUCUGGUGGGAAUUUUUUCUGUCCCCCAGUGCUUUGCUGGCGAGGCUCGCCCUCGUCUUCACUUGGUGUCUCCCUUCCCUUGUGUUCGGCGUUUAACUUGCCGGCCUGCUUGAAGACCCAGCAUUCUCUGUGGGUGUGAUUUGCAGGUUUAUCGGGGGUGCCAUGAAUCUGACAUAAUUUGUCUAGAAUCUUGUUUAGGCUGGACGGUCCAUCUCUGUUGCCUUUGAAAGGCUUUUUCCGCUGACCCGGUCGAGAGUCCCUGAAUCCGGCGUUUACCGCCGUGUUGUCUGGGUUGUCUUCGUUAUUUCAACGCUUGCUUUUACUGCGUCGUGGUUUUCCAUUGCCAUCCCUGACUUCGGAUGUGCCUGGGUCGCUGGUGCUACUACGGGCUAGCCAGCUAUCUUCGCCCGUGCAAAAGCGGGUCAUGAGGCUUGUCAGAGCUGCCAUUGUUCUCGGUUUUUCUUGGCCGAGGUGUCUGGCGAGCCAUUCGUCUCGGAUGCUGUGUUUGAAAGCUGCUAAGGCUUCGGCUUCCGGGCAGUCGACGAUUUGGUUCUUCUUGGUGAGAAAUCUGUUCCAAAGCUUUCGGGCUGACUCUCCGGGCUGUUGAAUUAUAUGACUUAAAUCGUCUGCAUCCAGAGGUCGGACAUAGGUCCCUUGAAAAUUAGCCCUAAAAGCAUCCUCAAGCUCCUCCCAACUUCCAAUUGAGUUUUCGGGGAGGCUCUUCAGCCAAUGCCGAGCUGGUCCUUUCAGCUUGAGGGGCAAGUACUUGAUGGCGUGGAGAUCGUCUCCGCGAGCCAUAUAGAUAUGGAGGAUAAAGUCCUCAAUCCAGAACCCAGGGUCUGUGGUUCCGUUGUACGCCUCUAUGUUCACGGGUUUGAAUCCUUCUGGAAAUUCGUGGUCCAGCACCUCAUCGGUGAAACAUAGGGGGUGUGCGGCACCCCUGUAUUUGGAUGUGUCACGGCGUUCUGACGGUUGUAGUGUUCGGUUUUGGUUGUGCGCUCGAGCGCGUUUCCUUGAUUCGUAGAUGGAUCUGGUCACGCCGGUCUUCUGAUGCAAGUCCUUACGUGAAUCGUGUGCUGACUUAUGUGUGGCCUUGUUAGCCGCUCUAUCGCGGCCACGAGGUGGUUGAUCCGACCGGUCGGCCAUUUUGUUUUUCGGCUGUGUGGGCUCUAAGGCCUCAUCAUCAAAUUCAGGAAACAGCUUGCGCUUUGGAUAGCUCUUUGUGUGGUAACUACCACCAUACUUUUCUUCAGUGUCGAGCACUUUGUUCCAUCUACUGUUGAGCGUAUUCUGCGCGGCCUUAAGCCUUUGCUUCUGCUUCUUCAGACUCCUCGCGGUGGCAAUAAGCCUUCUGCGGAGGUUCUCUUGUUCCAAGUGCCUUUCCGGGAUGAUGUGUGCAUCCUCAUCCGGACUAUUUUCCUCUCCGGAGGGAGGUUGAUGAGUUUUAUCCUCAGCGUCGCCGUGUUCGGACAGCGGAUCCGUACUAUGUUCGCCGUUUGCUGGUUCAUCCUGCUCUAUCGCUGGGUCAAUGUGGUCAUCGUUUCCUCUGGAUUCGACUGGGGUGUUAUUUUCUCUUGCGAUGUUAUCGCUGUUUUUGCCGACGCGGGAUUUGGAGCGGCGCCUACGCCGACGUUUUGGUUGCUUCUCGAGGGAGCUAUCCUUCGCUGCAUCCUUCCGUUCCUCGUCAUUGUUUUCUUUGGGUGUAUCCACCAUGUAUAUGUCAUGUGAUAAAGUGGAUGUCCAGCGCCCUGUGGGCGAUGGUUCCUGUUCUUCUCCUGCAUCGUCGUCCAUGCCGUCGAUGUCUUCGGAGUCGAAAUCGAGCAUGUCGGUUAAAUCGUCGACAGUGGCUACUAAGUGGGUGGUGGGUGGGGAGCGAAUUUCUUCGUCGUCCGCAUCCCAUUCUAGCCGGAUAUAGUUCGGCCAAGGUUCUCCUGACAAGGAGAGAGACCUUAAUGAAUUUAGCACAUCGCCAAAAGGCGAGUGCUGAAAGAUAUCCGCGGAGCUAAACUCCAUGAUCGGCACCCAAUCAGAUUCGAUAGGCACGGACGCGGGCGACUCGAAGCCCAUGGCCGGGGACGAAUCCAAUGGUUCGGCAGCACGGGUCUCGUAGGAGGUGAAGUCGGUAUUCGGCGCUAUCGCCACUGAGUGUGCGGCCUCCGUGGCGGGGUCCAUCCACCCGUCCACAGAUGGCGCAAUUUGUUCUGGAUUGAGGGCCGGAGUAGUUGCAGGUGUGAUCUCCCGAACACUAUCCGACGGCCGAGCUAAAUCAUGCUCGUCGUGAUUGUGCGGCGCACCUGACAUGGGCUCGAAUCCGCCGAAGAUCAAGUCUCCACGGAUGUCGGCAGUGUAGUUCAAGUUUCCAAAUCUGACCUGAUGGCCAGGGGCAUAGCUUUCGAUCUGCUCCAGAUGGCCAAGCGAAUUGGCCCGCAGUAUGAAGCCGCCGAAUACGAAGAUCUGUCUGGGGAGGAAAACCUCACCCUGGAUCGCAUCAUUGCCGAUGAUUGAAGGAGCCAUCAAGCCUUACGGUGACGGCACAGUGGAACUCUCAAUGAAAGCACCAAUGUCGGUGUCAAAACCGGCGGAUCUCGGGUAGGGGGUCCCGAACUGUGCGUCUAAGGCGGAUGGUAACAGGAGGCGGGGGACACAAUGUUUACCCAGGUUCGGGCCCUAUCGAUGGAGGUAAUACCCUACUUCCUACUUGAUUGAUCUUGAUGAUAUGAGUAUUACAAGAGUUGAUCUACCACGAGAUCGUAGAGGCUAAACCCUAGAAGCUAGCCUAUGGUAUGAUUGUUCUUGUCCUACGGACUAAACCCUCCGGUUUAUAUAGACACCGGAGGGGGCUAGGCUUACACAGAGUCGGUUACAAGGGAGGAGAUCUACAUAUCCGUAUUGCCAAGCUUGCCUUCCACGCCAAGGAGAGUCCCAUCCGGACACGAGACGAAGUCUUCAAUCUUGUAUCUUCAUAGUCCAACAGUCCGGCCAAAGGAUAUAGCCCGGCUGUCCGAGGACCCCCAAAUCCAGGACUGCCUCAGCGGGUGGGGCCCAGUAGUCAAUGAGAGAUUAAGAUUUUAAUUAACUAAUUUAAUUAAUUAUCAAUUUAUCUAUUUAUUUUUAUUCAUUUAUGGCAUGGGCCCCGCAUGUCAUAGACACAGGGGAGACAUGUCAGCGCGGUUGACUUCGGUCAACGUGGCCAGUUGGGGCCCCUAGGCCCACAGGCAGUGACCCAGGGGUGGGGCCCGCGAGCCACGCAGAUGGCCGGCGCCGGAGUUGCUCCGGUGGCCUCCCGCGGUGAAGGGCGCCGACGAGCCUCGGGAUUUCGCCACGGUGGCCCAAAACGGGCGCCGCCAGGCUCUCUGGAACGGCCUCUUCGCGCCGCGUCCGAUGGAGGGGAGCACGACGGCGGGGGUGGCCGGAAUGAUCGCCGGCGACGAUGUCGGGCGGAUGCCGAGGCUCGGCGAGUUCGAAGGCGAGGCUGCGGGGCAUGGUUCGUCACGGGGCGGGGUGCGUUCGAACGCAGAGACGAAGUCGCGUCGAACGGUAGUGAUACCAUGGGCGGAGAUGCCGUGUAGCGACGGCGGCGAGCGGCGCGGCGGACGCCGGCGUUCGGCCGCGUGAGGGAAACAGCGAUGCGACGCGUUGGCAAGUACGCAAAAUGGCCAGGGGGCCCCUACGUGCGCGUGCGAGCACAAAGGGCACGAGCCCGGGACCAAAUGGUCACCGGACGGCUGCCGGCGACGAGCGCGUGCGGCGACGCGCUCGGGCAAGUUGGGGGCGGCGCAUUCAACUUGCGAACGGCGUCGAGAAAGAGAGGGGAGGAAGCGGGGUCUCACCGAGCGGCACACACGGUGGCUCUUGGGGGUUUAGUAGCAGCAGAGACGACGGCCCUCGUCGGAGACGCGUCGGGGAUCCGAGGAAGAAGACGAGGCCGGGGCAGCGUUCGUGGGCGCCCGGCGUCCAGCGGCUCGUUGGGGAGGCGUAGUCGAGGGAGGUGGAGCAAGCGGACACGUCGGAGAGGUGUGGAGGUUGCGGUGGCCGCGAGUUCUACGGCGGCAAGGCCAUGGAGGCACUCAGAUGCGGUGGGGAACGAGGGGGAGAGCGAGGUGGAUCUGAGGGGGAAGGCGCAGGGGCCGAGAGGGAGAGCGGGGUGAGUGGGAGAUGGGAUCGAGGAGGCGGGGGGCGUGGCGGCCUUAUCCCCUGUCGGCAUCGGUGCCGGCGAGGCGGUUGGGCGGGAGCACGCCCCUGUUCCGACCUGGGUCGGGGGAACAGGGAAGGGAGACGAGCCACCGGGGGAACGGGCUGGGUCGGCCGGAUGGGCCAGGUGGGCCUGCCUGGCUGUGAGCUGGGCCGUCUGGUCCAGGGAGGGGGGGUUCUUUUCCUUUUGUUUUAUUUUCACUUUUUAUUUUUAUUUAUUUUAUUUUCUAUUUUAUUUCAUUUUAAAAUAUUUAGGCACUUUCUAAAAAAUUGUUUUCUCCACAAUAAUUACCAGUGCAAUAUUUGGCACCCACCGAACAUUUUUUUUCAAGGUUAGAAAACUUUUGUUGUUUGCCAUAUUUCGAAUUGAUUUUUGAAUCGGUUUUGAACUAACGAAAGAUUAGCAACAGUAACGGAGCUGACAUGGCAUCAUUAGGAGAGUUUCACUGUAGCUUAAUCAUCUGGGCGUUACAGCAAUUUUACCUAGCCCAAUUACCUUUCCUUUGUUGUUGUCGCCAAAAGUGAUAUACUUCAGAGGAGAAGCAGUUAAGUUGGGGUCGAAAAACAACGACUUGUCUCCGGUCAUAUGACUAGUGCAUCCACUAUCCAUUAUCCAUUCUGUACACCCGGAGACAUAGUCCUGCAGAAGAAUUAGGCUUUCUUAACCACCCACAUCUUUGCAGGUGGCUUUAAAACAAAUGAGCGAGCAGGAUAUGACUUCUUUUGGUAACCAUAAUUGUUACUCGAUGAGGUGUGAGCAUAAUCAAAGGAGUAAGCAUUGUAAUUCUUCCCAGAUGAAUGAGUAUAGUGAUUAGAUGAGGUAUGCAUGUACUCAUUCUGUCAAACUUUUUCAAGGAAGUAACGAGCAUUUUGAGUCUGCAUGGUUAGUAGCGUGGUAACAGGUAAUGCAUCGAUAGUUUUCUUAGGCACCCAUAUAGCUUUCUUUGGGGGGCCAUUCAUGCUGUUUGGUCCAACAUAGCGAGCAACAGCCUCACCAUAUUGGUUUUUAGACAACUUAUAGUUGUCCAAAGAAUCAUCAUCAGGGUAUUCAGAGAUGGGAGAGUUGUAUCCCGAAGGCAAAGCUGGAUCAAGCGUUUUGCUUUUGGCAGGCACCCAUACAGUGCGAGGAUAUUGAUCAGGUUCCUAGUAGGAGCCAUUUCAUUCAAUUUCCUUUCGAAACCGAUGCCUUCUUUCCUGGGAUUUCUAUGAAGGAUGGAUUUCUUCAGAACAUCACAAAUGGUUUGAUGCCCCUUGAGAGAUUUUAACAUUCCCGUCUGAAGAAGAUCCUUCAACCUAGCAUUUUCAUCAGAAACAGAACCAUUUUCCUCGACAGAGGGGUUAGCAUUCACAGAUGAUUCAGCAUUGGUUCGUUCAAGGCAUUUUAUGCAAGGUGGAACAAACACUUCAGGUUUCUCUUUAAGUUGUUGGGUGAGAAGAGAAUUUUCUCUAAUCAAAUCCUCAUGAGCCUCUCUCAGCGCCUCGAGUUCCUGUUUCAUUUUCAGGUAAUCAUAAGUCAAUCUUUCGUGGUCGACUGAGAGAAAAUCAUGACAAUUUGACAGUUCUUCCAUUUGCGACUUGAGAGUGGAAUACUCUUCGGUCAAAGAUUGAUUUUUCUCCAUCUCCUCAACCAACAACCCUUCAGAUUUCCUGAGGAUUUUCUCAAUUUUCUCAAGAGAGUUUUGUUGAAUAUUAUCAAUUUUGAUCAAUUUAGCAUGGUCAUCCUCAUCAGGAGAAUAUUGAUCACUAGAGUGAACCUUGUGAUGUUUGGAGGAUACCUUUUCCUUUGAAGCUUUGGCCAUGAAGCAGUAGGCAGGAGAUUCAUCAUCACUUGACGAAUUCCCGAAGAAGUUUGUCGCAGGGGAGGAGGCAUAUGCUAUGCUAGCCAUGCCAGAGUCGGAAUCCUCAUCGGAUUCAUCAGCUUCUUUGGAGUCAGACGAUUCUUCUUCAUCAGAAUCCAUCUCCUUGCCGAUGUAUGCCUUGGCCUUGCGAGAGUUAUUCUUGCGGUUGGAGGAGGACAUGGAAGGAUUCCUUGAGGAAGAUCUUGUCGAAGAUUUCGAUGUGGAGUUGUCCUUCUUCUUGAAGAACUUCUUUGUUUUCUUCUCAUCAUCGGAGUCGUAGUUCUUGCUCUUGCUUUUGCCUCGAUAGUUGCCAGAAUCAUAUCUUCCACUAGCACGGAUUUCAGCUUCCCAGAGAGGGCAGUCUGAAAUGAAAUCUCCAGGCUUUUUGCACUUGAAGCAGCUGUAUUCUCCAGUAGGUUUUGAUGAAGAUUUCGAACCACCAGAGUUGCUUGAACUUUUCUUCUGGAACUGGCUUUUCUUGUGAAAGCGCUGGAAUCUUUUUGUGAUCAAUGCGAGAUCUUUGCUGAGCCUUCUGGGUCAUCUGAAUCUUCUUCGGCAUUUCCAUCGGAGGAAGAGUCAGCUACAACCUUGAGAGCAUGAUUUUUGCGUUGACUUGAGCCAUAGAGAUCUCUUUUCUCUUCUUCUUGUUCCUCAUGGGUGUUCAACCUUUCCAUUAUAUCAGCAGACUCGAGAACUUUGAAAUCAGCUCAUUCCCUUAUCAUCAGAACAAGAGUGUCGAACGAACUGUCAAGAGAUCGGAGCAGUUUCUUAACAACUUCAUGGUCAGUCAUGUCUUUGGCGCCGAGACCUUGCAGCUCGUUCGCGAUGUCAUUCAAACGAUUGAAUGUUUGCUGGCAGCUUUCAUUUCCAAUGCGCUUGAACCUAUUGAACUUUGCUCGAAGGGUAUCAAUGCGAUCUUCUUUCUUAGUUGAAACACCUUCAUUUAUUUUCUCGAGAAUGACCCACAAUUCCUUCGCAGAUUCACAUUGACGAUAGCGAAGAAAUUAAGCACGAGAGAGAUGGCCACCAAUUUCAUCUUUGGCCUGAGCGCCCAGUUGAGUGAGUCUUUUCUCUCGGUCAUUUGGAACUUGGGGCACUUCAAGCGUGACUCCAUUUUGCACCACAUUCCACAUAUCAUCAUCAAUUACUCGGAGACAGAUCUUCAUCUUCUCCUUCCAGAAGGGGUGGUCCGUCCCAUCGAAUAUGGGAAUCUUGAGAUGCAACUUGUAACUCACUGAAGAACAUACUUAAACUUCGAGGUUGUUAGACCAAAAUGAGCAAAGUCAAGGAGUACCUUGCUCUGAUACCAAUUGUAGGAACGAAGUAUGUCUAUCAGAGGGGGGUGAAUGGGAGUUUUAAAAUUUCUUCGAAAAUCACAAAACUCUCGGAACCUAGCAGCGGAGUGAAUGAAAAACAAACUGCAACGAGCUAUAACCAAGUACCAACUGGAAACUAAGACAUGUGUCGAGGCAAAUCACAUGAAGGAAAACAUAUCAAAUGUAAACAUGGGUAGUAGAGGUAACCAGUGAUGCUCGAUGGCGACAGGGUAUUUGUUCGACCAGUUCGUCCUUCUGCACAAGGACUACGUCUGGUUGGAGGGGCUGUGAAUUAACACGGAAGAUAAACUCUCUUCACCCUAUUCUCCUCGACAAUUGGUUCGUCAACCAAUGCCGAUCACUCGUGGUAGAUACUUGAGGCGAUCUCCAAACCUUUACAUACUUCUUCUUCGAGAAUCACAAUCACUCUUGGUCUAUGAAGAAAUUGACACCUAACCGUCUAGAGAGCUUGCAGUUCUCAAGAGUAAUAGGUGGAGCGUACUAGACUUAGAUUCGAGUGAUGCUGAACCACUAUAUAAUUCUUCGGCUCUAGGGGUUUUCUCUCGGUGGAUUUUAAACUCAAAUCGCUCAGAGAGGGGGUUGCUCAAUAAUCUUCUCAGAAUCAAAUGGAGCAGCCACCGGACAAAGCCGGUGCGGGGUGGCUAUUUAUAGCCGCAGCGUUCUGUGACGCCCGGAUAAUCAAGCUACAGUAACCUCUGCUAAUGAUGCCACGUCACUUCGAUUACUGUUGCUAAUCUCGCGUUAGUUCGAAACCGAUUCAAAUUCAAAUUCCAAAAACAAGUCAAAAUUUAUUUCUUCAAACUGAUAAGGAAAAAUGUUCGAUGGGUUGCAAAUAUUCACUAAGUAAUUACCAUGUAGGAGCUAACAUUAAAUGGAUUUUAAAAUUUCCCCUAGAAAUAAUUAAAGUGAACAAGCAUCCCUUAUUAUGCCCAUUAAAAUAUGAACUUAAUUUCAAACAUUUCCAAAUAACCCCAAACUUUUUGGACAACACCCAAAAUAUUAGGAGGUAAUUAUGUGAGGAGUUUCAACUUUAACUAAAAUCAUUUAGUACCUAAACUAAUUACAAAAGAGUAUAUAAAUAAGAAAAACAAUAAACAAAAAGAAGUGAAAAACAUAAUACCUAAUCUACUGUGCACUUUGGCCUCCUCGCUACAGGAACCGGCCCAGCCCACCACUAUAACCUUCUUCAACUUCCUGUUCACCCAAGCGCCGUGGACGCAGAGCGCCCGUCCAUGACGAGGAUCGCCACACGCCGGCCAUCCAUGCCUCCUCGGCGAGGAUAAUGCCGUCCUCGGCGUCCUAGGGUUCGCCCGCGUCCACUCCCUCUCGCCGUUCUCCCCGCCUCCUCCUCGAUCUAUCGCCGCGACCUUGCCCAAGCACUGCCACAGCUGCGCCGCCGUCGUCACCGUGGCCAACGGCCUCCCCGGCGGCCAGGACCGCGCUAGGAGGGCCGCCUUCGUCGACCUCGUCCCCCCCCCCUGCAGCAGGAGAUGCCCCGUACCCCUCGCCAUCUUCGUUCUUCUCCGCCCCGGCCACCACGACGUCGUCGUCGAUCUGCCGCACCGCGACCUCCCCGGCUUCCCCGUGCUUCUUCCCGACACCGAUGUGAGCCGCUGUCCAUUCCCCCUUCUCCCUUUUCUUUCUUCCCGUCACCGUAGGACGCCACCAUUGACGUGCCCGAGCUAGCGGUCGCUACCUCCCGUGCGCCUCUGUUCGCUCCUUCCCGCGUCCGCCUUCACCCUGGCCAUGACCUGCGCGUGUGCCCGCAGCCCCUCCCCUGUUCUGCUACUGUUCGGCGUUGCGGCUCCUUCGCUGCUCGCCCUCGCCGCCCCUUUCUGCCGACCCCACUGCCGCCGCUUCGUUCAAAGCCCGCCGCACGCUCCCGCCGUGGCUUGCCCGCUUGCAGCGUCGCCGCCGUCAUCUCGCGUGCUCGUCCUCGCAGCAGCUGACGCCCCGGCCNNNNNNNNNNNNNNNNNNNNNNNNNNNNNNNNNNNNNNNNNNNNNNNNNNNNNNNNNNNNNNNNNNNNNNNNNNNNNNNNNNNNNNNNNNNNNNNNNNNNNNNNNNNNNNNNNNNNNNNNNNNNNNNNNNNNNNNNNNNNNNNNNNNNNNNNNNNNNNNNNNNNNNNNNNNNNNNNNNNNNNNNNNNNNNNNNNNNNNNNNNNNNNNNNNNNNNNNNNNNNNNNNNNNNNNNNNNNNNNNNNNNNNNNNNNNNNNNNNNNNNNNNNNNNNNNNNNNNNNNNNNNNNNNNNNNNNNNNNNNNNNNNNNNNNNNNNNNNNNNNNNNNNNNNNNNNNNNNNNNNNNNNNNNNNNNNNNNNCGCCCGGCCGUGCCCGCGCUAGGCCAACGCGCGCCCCAGUCGCCUGCCUCGGUCGCGGCCACCUCCGCCGCCUAGCCUCGCCGCCGCGGCUGCCUGGCGUCGCCACCGCCUCCUGCUGCUGCGCUUGGCCACUCCCGCUUCCGCUAGCUGCAGCCUGCCGCUCUCAGCGCUCGCGCGGCCAUGGCCGAUCCCCAGUGUGCGAGCGCGCACGGCCAUGAGGUCGGCUGUGCCUCUGACUGGGGAAAUCUUGACCAGUUUAGAUUAGUUUCUAAUCUAAUUAACCCCCUCCUAAUUAUUCAAUGACUAUUGGGCCCCCUGGUAAAUUAAAUCUAGCUAAAGUAAAUAAAAUAGCAGGUUUAACAGAUGUGCCUAUGACACCUGGGCCCCACCGGCCACUUUGACCAGUCAACUCUGCUGACUGGGCAAUCCUAGUCAGUGACAGGUGGGAUCCCUUUGGGUCCCCUUUGACUUUGUUGACCGGUCAACUGGUCAACAGUUGACUGGGCUGACUCAGCCCCCGGACCCACAUGUCAUACAUAGUGGGUGGCUACUGCUGUGUAUUAAAAGUAUUUACUGUUAUAAUUCGAAAUUAAUAAUUAAUAAUAAAUUUCAGGAAAUUAUUUAAAACUUGAGAAAAUCAUAUAAAAUAAUCCGUAACUCGGAUGAAAAUACUUUGUACAUGAAAGUUGCUCAGAACAACGAGACGAAUCCGGAUACGUAGCCCGUUCGUCCGCCACACAUCCCUAGCAUAGCGAACACGCAACUUUCCCCUCCGGUUCAUCUGUCCGAAAACGUGAAACACCGGGAAUACUUUCCCGAAUGUUUCCCCCCUCUGCCGGUAUCACCUCCUACCGCGUUAGGGCACAUCUAGCACCGCUCAUUGUCAUGUCAUGCAUCGUUAUGCAUCUGUUUAUAUUGUAUUCAUUGUUUCUUCCCCCUCUUCUCUCCGGUAGACUACGAGACUGACGCCGCUGCUGGUGCCCCGAUCGACUACGUUGAUGACGACCCCUCCUUCUCGGCUGAGCUUCCAGGCAAGCCCCCCCCUGAUCACCAGAUAUCGCCUAUUCUUCUCUAUACUGCUUGCAUUAGAGUAGUGUAGCAUGUUACUGAUUUUGGUUAAUCCUAUUCUGUUGCAUAGCCUGUCAUUGUUGCUACAGUUGAUACCCUUACCUGCUAUCCUACUGCUUAGUAUAGGAUGCUAGUGUUCCAUCAGUGGCCCUACACUCUUGUCCGUCUGCCAUGCUAUACUACUGGGUCGUGAUCACUUCGGGAGGUGAUCACGGGUAUAUACUAUAUACUUUAUAUACAUGACAUAUGUGGUGACUAAAGUCGGGUCAGCUCGUUGAGUACCCGCAAGUGGUUCUGAUGAGGGGGCUGAAAGGACAGGUGGCUCCAUCCCGGUAGAGGUGGGCCUGGGUUCCCGACGGCCCCCGGCUGUUACUUUGUGGCAGAGCGACAGGGCAGGUUGAGACCACCUAGGAGAGAGGUGGGCCUGGCCCUGGUCGGCGUUCGCGGAUACUUAACACGCUUAACGAGAUCUUGGUAUUUGAUCUGAGUCUGGCCAUUUGGUCUAUACGCACUAACCAACUACGCGGGAACAGUUAUGGGCACUCGGCGUCGUGGUAUCAGCCGAAGCUCUUUUUGACGUCAGCGACUGAGUGGCGCGCGCCGCAUUGGACCGUAAGCUCGCGCUUGUAUUAAGGGUGCUAGGUCUGCUUCCGGCCGCGUACGGAACGUGCAGGUGUGUAAUGGGCGAUGGGCCCAGACCCCUGCGCGCAUAGGAUUUAGACCGGCGUGCUGACCUCUCUGUUGAGCCUAGGUGGGGCUGCGACGUGUUGAUCUUCCGAGGCCGGGUAUGACCCAGAAAAGUGUGUCCGGCCAAAUGGGAUCGAGCGUGUUGGGUUAUGUGGUGCACACCUGCAGGGAAGUUUAUCUAUUCGAAUAGCCGUGUCCCUCGGUAAAAGGACGACCCGGAGUUGUACCUUGACCUUAUGACAACUAGAACCGGAUACUUAAUAAAACACACCCUUCCAAGUGCCAGAUAUAACCCGGUGAUCGCUCUCUAACAGGGCGACGAGGAGGGGAUCGCCGGGUAGGAUUAUGCUAUACGAUGCUACUUGGUGAACUUACCAUCUACUCUGUUCUACAUGCUGCAAGAUGGAGGCUGCCUGAAGCGUAGUCUUCGACAGGAUUAGCUAUCCCCCUCUUAUUCUGGCAUUCUGCAGUUCAGUCCACCGAUAUUGCCCUUUACACAUAUACCCAUGCAUAUGUAGUGUAGCUCCUUGCUUGCGAGUACUUUGGAUGAGUACUCACAAUUGCUUUUCUCCCUCUUUCCCCCUUUCUAUACCUGGUUGUCGCAACCAGAUGCUGGAGUCCAGGAGCUAGAGAUCCCGAGGAUGAUUCUACGUGGAGUUCGGCUUCGAGGAGUAGUUAGGAGGUCCCAGGCAGGAGGCCUUGCCUUUUCGAUCGUUGCUACUUUUGUGCUAACCUUCUUAAGGCAAUCUUGUUUAACUUAUGUUUGUACUCAGAUAUUAUUGCUUCCGCUAACUCUUGUGUUUUCGAGCUUAUGUAUUCGAGCCUUCGAGGCCCCUGGCUUGUAAUAUAAAGCUUGUUUUAUUUUAAUUUGUGUCUAGAGUUGUGUUGUGAUAUCUUCCCAUGAGUCCUCAAUCUUGAUCGUACACAUUUGCGUGUAUGAUUAGUGUACGGUCAAAUAGGGGGCGUCACACCUUCCCUGGUGGGAAAUGAUCAUUUUGGACAUGCAGUCCAGCCAAUGGCCAACCAACACGUUCACAACGGUCGGAUUUUGGAGCAACGAUAACAUUACUUGAGGAUCAAGUAAUGCUAACUCCUCGGUCUGAGACAAAUCUCUCGCAGGGAAGAAGAUCACAGUCUCUUGCUGGCAAGUAUUUGCUCGGAGCACAAAGAGAUUUCUCUCACAACUAUCAUAGAUUUGGGUUUAACAUCAGAGAAUCAAAGUUUCAAACACUAUACCCCUCUUAAUAGUACAGUGGUCUUAUGACUCAAUAAAGAGAAGAAGAACAACGAAAUAAAUGCUACAUCUUCACUUCGUCUUCAAUCUCCUCGGACACAGUCAUCUUUGAACGUGCAUCGAACCAAUUGCUUUACUUCAUCAAUUUUUAGGGGUCACUCUUGUUAUCAUAAUCUUCGGUGAUAACCUACACUGCAACGUAGGCAGAUUAUGUUCGUCGUUUACAUCAAACUCCUCGUGAUCUCAGGGACCUGUUACUCUGUGUGCACUAGCAAACACAUAAGUCUCAUACUGUUUAUGUCAACAAAACUCCAAAACAUAAGGGGCCUAUCAUUGCACCAACAAGUACAAACAUAAGCGCUCAUAUAUACGUGCAUACACUCACCCUAUAAACGCAUACACGCACACCCUACCCCUAUGAGCACUUUCGAGAGACUCAAUCGGCAUAUCAUCUUAAGAUUUUACAAAGUCAUCGUAAGUAUCUCAUAGUCAACGGAAACGUCUCCUUCCCAUUGAACGCGUAUCGCCAGAAAUACUAAAAUAAAUUCAGAAUAAAUGCGAGCAUCUGGACUUUUUUUGAAUUGAGGGGCACACCCCGAUUCCAUUUCAUUGAUAUGAAAGGAAACCGCAUAAACGAGCAUCAGGACUUAACCCUGAUGGGCUGAUGAUACCACUGUUUACCUAACUAUUCAACUACAGGUUGUUGGUUCGCUUCGUGCUUUCGAAUUGACGAGUGAGCAGCGUCACGAUGAAGGUUCGUUUGCGUCUCACGUGACGAAAACUCAACUUCCCCUUGCGUCGUGUGCCCAAACCGCCUAACCGACCGGGAAAACCCUGCACGACCAAAGCGGCGUGUCUGGCUGCCUGUGCGCACGACGCGACCGCACGUACACUGCAGAGAAACACCCCUCCGCCUCACCAGCCAAACCACAACCACGGGCCGCACCGCCACUCCCACCCCCUGCAAACGGGGCCCAGGAGAAAACGUAAAGAGCCCCACCGCAAAACUUACGUUACGCCCUCCCUCGGCACGGCUACACCCACACGCACGCACGCGUCCUCCGUCCGUCACACUCCAGGACUGCAUACCCCGGACGCUGCCCUGGUGCCGCCCCAACGCCGCGCCGUCCCCUCCCCCCUCCCCGCCGCCCCCGUCCCACACCCUCGCGCGCGCGGCCGUAAACGCGAGGGCGCCCGUGGCCGCCGCCGCCGCCCGGAUUGUCGGAGCGGGGAGGGCGGGAAUCUAGGGUUGCCCCCCCGAUGGACGGCGGGGAGAGGACGUUCAAGGCCAACUUCAGCGCCGAGGGGGUGGCGCUGCUGCGGCAGCGCGUGAGGGCCAAGCUCCAUGAGCUCAUGGGAGAUUAUACCGACGACACCCUCGUGGUGAGUGCCCCCAGCCCGGCCCAUCCCCCGCUCCCCUCCCCCCGCCCGCGCGAUGAGAUGUGAUCCCCCGAUCCAUCGCUAAAACCCUAGCGGUUAUGUCGGUGUGAUUUGGUCCUGUAGGGUUAGAUAAGGUUAGCCGAAUGUUCGGAUUUCGCGGGAUCGUGUGUGAUGGUGGAAUUGGGUUGGUUUAGGUUCAUGCACAGUACCGUGCUAUCUGCAUUGUGGGUUUAUUAGGUGCCGUUCCUAUGUUCUGAGGAUUGGGGAGUCGUCUGAUUUUCCACGCAAGCCCAGUCUCUGCACUUGACAUGUGGAGUAGAUGGUGCUCGUAGUAUAUGGGAUGAGAUUCUGCAUUUUCUAAUGGAGCAUGCCUAAUUGGAGUGCUCCCGUUGUCUGAUUUGUCUUUCGGAGCUUAGUUUGUUUUGGAUUGACCUUGCUUAUACAGGUUCUGCUGGAGACACGGAUGCCUUAAAGGAGUUGAUAUUAAUUGUGCCUUCAUUGUACAAGCCCGCAAAUCACUGAGAUUGCUGAUCUAACUAUUUAUUUUUGCGUGACAGGAGUAUGUCGUGGUGUUGCUCAGAAAUGGAAGACGGAAGGAUGAGGCUGCAAAGGAGCUGCAGGUUUUCUUAGGCGAUGACAACAAUGCAUUCGUAUCCUGGUUAUUUGCUCCAUCCAAAUCUUUGUAACUAAGUUCCUUUGUUGUAUACCGUUUAUCUGGCUAUACUGAUAAUCAACGGUCAUGCAGGUUGUGGGAUCACCUCUCCUCAAAUUUGCACCUUUAUGUGCAACCCAAAGCUGUCUCUGCUAAUGAUGAAGCUAAAAACACUCGCAGUACUGCUAGAGGAUUGCCUCUACAUAAUUCAUCUAGCAAUGCACAGACUAGUCGUGUACCUGAAGCUGAAACUCAGAAAACAACAAAAGUCCAACCGAAGAGGGAGUGGGGAGGAAUUGUUCGAGAACAAUCAGACGUUGUUCCCCUUCGAAGUGUUGUAGCUCCUGUUUCGCAAGCAGAGGAAGAAACUAAUCAUACACAGGCUGUAAGACGAACCCGCUCACCGGACAUGUAUAACCAUAGAAAGAGAGGCAGAGAGGAGGACACACGGCCAGCGAAGGUCUCUAUGGCUCUCCCAAUCACAUAAUCUGAUUUUCAAAAUGUCGCUACAUUCAUGGCAUGCGUUUUCUGUUGUUUUAUGUUAGAUGCAAGUCAUAUCAUGAAUCAGGCAGUCCCAUAUUAAUAAACUAAUAUCUCGGCAUAUGCUUUCCUGUAAUGUUGUAAGUAUAUUAGACAAACAUGCUAAUUGACUUUGUUUUUGUAUUUCAUUUGCCGAGUACAUGAUUGAGUAGUAUUCUUUUUAUGUUCACAACACAUGUAUUCUGAUAAUAUUCUUAUAAUUCUUGAACAUUUUGUCUGCCGUCGUCAGUGAAGAAGAAAUUCUAAUAGGGAAUGCAAUUUGGAAGACCUGCUUUUGUGCUACUUGUGUUUGGGCAUAAUUAAUAAAUUUUAUUGUUUACCUGUUAUAAAUUCACAAAACCGUGACGUGCCUACCUAAUCCUGUUAUAAGAUUUGUAUUUAGCUUCUGAUAAUUGAUUUUUGUUUUUCUCUGUAAUUAAGUUAGUAUAUAUAUAACUCCCUAUACCAUUUUCUAAAGCGUUCUUUUGGAAGCUCCUAACUUUCAUGGAAGUCCAGUUCCACCCUCGACUAUGAAACCUGAUAUUUAGCACCGUAAACUUUCAAAACUAGACUGACUUCAACCAUGACAGACAUGAAAUUGAUGGGUCAACCAUAUAACUUCUGCGAUGUGUGUUAUCCUUGUUUAUUUAUCACUAUCGUGUAUGAUUUCGGAACCUGCUGUACAGCUUAUAGCUGUUUAAUUUUCAUACGCUGAGCAGCACAUCAGUUAAAUAAAGUAAUCGUGUUGCAAACAUGUUAUAUGAAUGUUUUAGGCCGUGGAAUGCACAUUUUUCUUGCUAGCAAUACUCUAUUGUGCACUUGCAUUCAUGUCAUGUUUUUUAAUUCCUGUGGUUUGUGUUGUCCUCUCACCCUAGCUCGCCGUCUCUGCAUUGCUCCUUGGUUAUUGCCUUGUCUACUUACAAUGCCAAAACAUAUUAUUGUUCUGCUUGAGCUCCAUUUUUCUAGCAAUUCCUGUAAAAACCUGCUGCUUCAUUAAUUCUUGUUCUUUGUGGUAAUAGUUUUCUUAUGUUUUCCAGAAGACAUCCCAUGAAGUCAUUGGUGCACCACGCCGGCUUCUUCAGUUUGCUGUUCGUGAUGCUGUCAGACCUGUGCAGCCACCGACCCCGAGGUCGGAGUCAUCUUCCAAGCGACUUCGUUCUGUGGUGUCUACGGUAGAAUCAGAUUCAGCAGCUAAUGGUAGGUUGCAGAAAAUGAAGUCUGAUGUGAGAGUACCAGGUGCCACGGCAGCAUUUAGAGCCGCAGCUGAGGCUGCUGAAGAUGUUCUCAAGGACAGAUACUCCUCGGAAAGUGUCUUUGACAGGUUGGGUAGAAGGCCUCUGUUGACUGCCACUGAAGAACCAUUCGAUUUCAGAGAAAAAGAUCCAGAAGAUGGAGAAUACAAGCACAUAGAUAAUGUCCGAGCAGAAAAUCAAGUAGAAUUUCAUGAAAGAAAUCAGUAUGUUGCCAGGGAUGCUUGUAUGUAUGACAGCGGGACAGAGAAGGCUGCUGAUUCUGCAUUCGAUAUUGAUCGGUAUGAUGAGACCGGUGCAGUUAGAUAUAAUGGUGUGAAUCCUUACCAGAAUAAAUUGUCUUCUAGUGGAGGCAAAGAGUCAUCAGUAAAGCGGUACAAUAAGGCAGAGGGAGCUGCCGGGGUGAGAAGCAGAAGGUCGAUACCCCAAGACACACAUGCUAGCUCAGGACCAAGACCAUCUGAAAAGAUCUUAAAUAUAUCUGCUAACAAUAAUACGCGGAAUCCUCCCUAUCAUGAAACUGCAAGAAAUGCUGGCACAUUUGAGCAUCAGGUGCCCAUUGGGAAGAAAGAUGUUGGCUCAAUAAAAUCAAAUGUGACAGUUGCACAUGCUAAAGUUACAGACAUGACCGAUAAAUCCAAAGUAAGUUUCCAUGGGCUAGCAUCUUCACUCCUUUUGAACUAUAUAUUUGCCAAGUUCAUGAAUAACUAGAUUAUACGAAAUUGUUUCCAUGGCAUUAGCAGCUUGAGAUUAUCACCUAAAAAAUUGAGCUUCUCAUAUGCUAUGCUCAGAAAUGUACUCUUUCUUAAAUCUGUUUGAAUUCAAAUCACCCAGCAAUGUAUUAUGUAUCUUUGAAGACUAGUGUCAAUUUGUACAGGAACUGUCCAACUCCUUAGAAACAGGAAAUAAAGUCAAAAUCAAGCCAUGAGCUCAUGAAGUAGAAUCUAUGAUUUUCAUGCUGGAUAUCUUAUCUAAUUUUGUUGUAACACACAUUAUACGGACAGGUCAACAGAUCUGAUAGGUUUGUUGGAACAUAAGCAGCGCUGAUAUAUUUGCCUACAUCAUUUUUGUAUUAUUUGCUUCUCUGUUUGUCUUCUGUGCCCGCACCCCAUUGGUGCAAGAAUUGUAUUUUCUGUGUUGUUUUGUGAGGGAUCCCCAAAGUAAAGGGGAAUGUGCAGGUCCAGGAAAUAUCGCCUUAAAGGGCCAUAUGUCUAUAGCUGUUAUAUAAUAAUAACCUUAUUUUUAAAAUUACAUUGCAGGACUUGGUGCACUCAAGUUCAUUGUUGGUGGCAACGAAGGCUUCAUCAGUUGGUAUGUAAAGCACGCGUUGCUCAAGUUCUCAUUGCUAUAAAUUGACUGCCUUAAUCAUCUGAACGGAAUGUUCUUGUGGAAACUCUUAGGAGGCCCCGUUUGGAGCAUAUGAUGGGAAAAACGUAGAAAUCGGGAAAACAUAGGAGUUGAGAUGGCAUGCCUCACAAAUUCUAUGGGAAUAGAAAAUGCAGGAAUUCAGAAAAAUAGACGUUUGGAUUGUAGGAUAGGAAAACAUGGGAAACUUUUCGAGUUUCAGACCUAGUCACUGCCCAUGACAAUUAGCCGUUGGCUUUCUUCCUUCACAACUAUCCUUGUUUUCCUUGCAUAUGUGAAUGCCUUCACAAUGCCAUUUGCAGGCUAGAAUGUUUAGUACAACAAUCAAGUCAUGAUAUUUAUCGAACCUUGAUGACGAGAUCCGAUCUAUUGUUGCGGCCCGAUCUUUCACAGCACUCCACCUUCAGCAACAGCAACCUCUCGCCGGUGAUUAUGAGUUUAACGACUAGUCGUCGUGAGACUAGUCUAGUAGUCUCAAUCUGAUUGUCGACUAGCUUCUUCGUGUAGAUUAGCUCGUUCAGUCGAGCGGUGGAGCGACUAGUCAUCGACUAGUCUAGACUAGUGGUUGUUUAAGUCCAUCGACUCAAUUUGGGAGGGAUAAGUGAGCAGAGCUCAGCCCACGGGAGGGAAAAAAUUGCAACCCUAGCUUUCCAGUCUCGCUCCACAACGAGCCGCCUCACCUGGGACUAGGCCGCUGCUACCCGCCACCGCCGUCGGCCAGGACCAUUACGAUGCUCUCCCUUCGUUGGUUCUGCUCCUCCCCUGGAUCCACCCCUCUGCUGUUGAGCUCCUCCCCUUGCUGCUCUCCUAUGCUGAUGUGAUCCUCCUCUGGAUCAACUCAAUUUUUAUUGUAUAAUAUAUUAGUCUAUAGUCCGUCCGUCCCAAAAUUCUUGUCUUAGAUUUGUCUAAAUAUGGAUGUAUCAAGUCACAUUUUAGUAUUAGAUACAUCUGUAUCUAGACAAAUCGAAGACAAGAAUUUUGGGACGGAGGGAGUACUACAUUACAUACUAGGUAUUAGUAGUUGAUUACUGUAUAAGUUGAGUACUACAGUACCAUGGCGACUAGUCCAGCAGUAGUCUAGACUUGUCAUGAUUAGUCUAUGAGUUUCAACCUCGGCUCGACUCGUCGACUCGUAAUUCUUGCCUCUCGCCCGCACACACGAUGUACGCUAAUUAAAGGGAUUGAACCUUAAGUUUUAGCACAAGAAAACCAAUCUUGUUGAUGGUACUCAGGCGCAAAACAAUUUCUUCGCAGAGAAAUUGCAACAGAGGUUUUCUGAAGCUUCAUCCAAAACUUAGGGAUUUUUUGACAGCUUCCCUCAUAACUUGAUACGGGUAUUUACAUGGUGCACCAACCAGACCUUAAAUAGGAGAUGGCCUAUCUUGAGCUGCAAGCUGGCCAACUCAAACUUUCCUGUCCUUAUCUCUUGGCUAACAAAAAAUAAACUAUACUUUCUAAAAUAUUAGAUUACAUGCCUUCUAUUUUCUGGCACAUAACCGUUACAGAUCCUCGAGAAAACAUGACACUUUUGACCUAAAAAAAAGACGCACCUGUAGGUGGACUCCAUCCUGCAGCGCACAAGCACAUCAAAUCCUUCGGUCGACGAGGACUCCAAGCGAGCACAUAUAGCUGAUCUGGUGGCCGUGACCUUCCAAAGUAGUAGUAGUAGCCAUGGGCUUGUUUCUGCUUCUUAUCUCUUUGGUUUGCAUGCACAUGUACCUGGCUCAAAGAAAACAAAUCCCUUUUGACAUUACUUCGGUCCAUAGCAUAGUUAGGGACUCCCAACUUCUCCUGAUUCCCAUGCAAAAUAUCUAGCAGUCAAUUCUUCCAGAUAAACACACGUACAUGUCACAUUAAUUAGCUCCUCCUCAACUUCAUAAUGCUUAUCAACAAUCUCCAGAUUUGGCAUAACAGAAACAUCACUAGCGACUUGACCAACAAUUGGAUUAAUAUUGCUAAUGAUUGAUGUGGUCGUAUCAAGUCAUCCAAUGCAUCAAAGAGAUUGACCUCCAACAUUCAGGCGAGUUGUGGUUGUAUGUGACCUGCUAAUCCCACCCAACAAAUUCGCCCUAAUCCAUCUGAGAAUUUUGUACAAUUGAAUCAUGGUACUCCCUCCGUUCUUAGAUAUAAGACUUUUUAGAUAUUUUAGUAUGGACUACAUACAGAGCAAAAUAAGUGAAUCUACACUCUAAAAUAUAUCUAUAUACAUCCGUAUGUAGUCCAUAUUGAAAUAUCUAAAUGGCUUAUAUUUAGAAACGGAGGGAGUAUUAAAAAAUGGAAUCAUGUCGCAUAUAUAACACGGGUCAUGCCUUUCUCACCAUCCGCUGCCCUCGCCGCCUCCUACGCUCGCAGGCCGUCGUGCCCUGUCAUGAGUCCUGCUUGCCCCUCUUACUCGGCCGCCACCUGAUGCCACAGACGCCCCUAUACGCAGCCCCCCCGCCUCUUCCUUGUGGCUUUUGGUGCACGCGAACAAGCGAAAAGGCAGCGGUGGAAGCGCCUUGAAGCUCUGUUUUCACGCCAGGAAGUUUUCCAUUAGAUAUGACUGCAUGUUUAUUUUCCUGUGAAGCCUGAAGGGUAGAAACCCGAUCCUGUGGAAUCUUAUUUCAUGUUCCUGUGUUCCAAAGGUCCCAAGGGAAAUUUUCAUAUGAAAUUCAUAUCCUGUAAAAUUCCUGCAAAAAAACAGUUUUCCAAACGGGCCCUUUUAGCUUAUUAGAACCAUACCAUUGCCUUUACUACUACGAACUAAUAACCCUAGUUGAUCAUGCAAGACAUCCUUUAUUUCAUGAAAGGUUUCUGCACCAAUUUUUCUUUUAGAUAUCUUUAUUGUGGUAUGAUUUUUUUAGGACCCUGAUAAGUGCCACACGUGUGGCACGAACGCAUGGCAACUCCGAACGUUUUUUAUGGCAAGUUUAGUGACGCGAGGAUGGCAACUUGUCAAAGCCUGACAACUUUUGUACUUCAAAGGAUGGAAACCUUAUUUUUCGGAUUUGUUUUUUUCUUUCUGGAUGACAACUUUAGUUGUAAAAAACGUCAGGGCCGGAGUGCUUCAUGCCACAUGUGUGGCACUUAUCAUUUGUUUUUUUUUACCCUGUUAAGAUAGCAUGUUAGCUCUAGGUUUUCUACCCACUCAUUUGUUAAGCAGAUUCUUUUUUUGUUAUUAUUUUCAGCUGGUGGAUCUACAGGCCAACCUGAAAGUGCCCCUGAUUCUAGAACUGUCUUUGUUAGCAAUGUAAGUAUUUUAAUUUUGUUUUUCUUUUACCCUUCCGGUUAUGAAGAGAAGAGUUUGUGUCACCAGUGAUUGUUUUAUUGGGCUUUUUUAGGUACAUUUUGGCGCAACAAAAGAUGGUCUUUCUUGUCAUUUCAACAAGUUUGGGGCUGUGCUAAAAACUCUUAUUGUAUCUGAUGGUGCCACUGGUCAGCCAACAGGGUGUGAAUUCUUACUCCCCUCUGAACAGUCCAAAUAUCAUCAUUUAUUUAGGUAAUGUUCUAAGUAUUUUUUUUGUCUUAUCAGCUCAGCGUACAUCGAAUUCUUGGAAAAAGAAUCAGCAGAGAAGGCACUAACGCUGAAUGGAACAUCUUUUAUGUCACGCAUUUUGAAGGUAAAACUUCCUUGACUUAACUUCUACUCCCUCCGUUCCUAAAUAUUUGUCUUUUUAGAGAUUUCAAAUGGACUACCACAUACGGAUGUAUAUAGACAUAUUUUAGAGUGUAGAUUCACUCAUUUUGCUCCGUAUGUAGUCACUUGUUGAAAUCUCUAGAAAGACAAAUAUUUAGGAACAGAGGGAGUAUGUUUUGAUAGGUUUUGUUGAAACUUUUUUGGUUGACAUUCAUGAUUGAGUUGCUCAGUGUAAGAUUUGGUAUUGAACAUCAAAAUGAUAAUAUACUUCUGUCUUUACUGGAAGCUCCAUUAGCUGGGCCAUUCUUUCAUCAGUAUGCUCAUUAGUGUUUUCUGUCUUGCAUGCAUGCGAUCAUACCCUAUCAAUAAAUAUGGAAGUAGAAAGUAUAUUCGAGCAAUUAAGAAGAUUUUGCACUUUCGAGUGUUCACGUGGAGUACUUUUCAUGACUUGUCAUGCGUAUCUGUUAACUAUAUAUAAUGGUGUGCUGCAGGUUGUUCGAAAAAGCUCUGUUGAAGUGCCUCAGCAGCCUGGCUGGUCACGUGGUGUUCGUGCAUCACCAUUUGCUUCCAGGCUCAUUAGAACCGCAUACCCAAGGCCGACAUUCCCUGGGGCUAUGCGUGGACGUUUAGCUAUCAGAGGUAAUGCUCGGAGUUUUCAAUGGAAGCGUGGCGCUGCUGAUUCCGUAGAUGCCGGAAAACCAAGUCAAGCUACACCUGUAACACCUGGGAGUCAGAUGGUAACUCCGGUAACACGAAGCUUCACCUACACACGCACCGAGCCAAAACAGGAUGUUGGUGCGACUGCAAACGUUUGAUUAGCUCAGCCACAGCAUGCCUGUUGGUUCUGAUGAAACUCACAGAGAUAGCUCAAAAUUCCUGGCCAUUUCAUAGUUUAGCCUCCUUUGGUAAAUACUAUUUAGUUGCAGAGCUUAGUGAGUGGCUGGUUUUAUGGAACUGAAUAUUUGAGCCAUAUUCUGUGAGUGAUUUUGUGUGCUCCCCCAUCGGAGAGGCAUUCAUGCUGUGCUGGUUAUGUUAAGUUUGUGGGAGUGGAGAAAUGUCAAAAAAUGAGGCUGUAGAAUGUUAGGCACAUAUGAACAUUAUUUAUUAUUGAUAGAUUAUGCCAGCUUCCAUGGAAUUCCUGUUAAAACUGUGUGAUUGUGUAUUCUUUCUUCUCCAGGAGUUUUAAUACGCCAUUCUUGUAUGAUUUUCCACCUUUGUAUGUAGUGAUCUUGCAUGUAACACCUGUCCAUUGAUCCGGGAUGUCAUGUAGUAGGUGUGGCUGUGUACAUAUUUUAUCCAAAGAGAGUACAUUCUCAUCUGGGAACCAGGGAAAGCUCACUGGUAGCACAAGUCUAAGCAUCUAUGUUGUCUUACUGAAAGGUAACAAACAUAUCUGCUGUCUUACUGUCUUUCAGCUGAGUAUUAUUCUCUCUUGUUUGGUGUAGACUUGUGGCUUAUGCUGGUAGGAUUUACAUGAUGCUGACCAUUAAGGAUUAUAAUAUCAAGACAGUUUGUUUUACUGCCUUUACUUGCUUGUUUCUGCCCAAUAAUUGAAGUUAACUUUCUUUUGGGCCAUGAUUGAAGUUAACUUUGUUUGACGCUGGUGUAACCACUCACGCACUAUCUGCCUAGUCUGUGACGGAGGCAGAUAGAUCUUAGACGAAAGCAAAAUCCACUCUCCCAGUAGACUGUAGAGUGGUAGUUGCAGAGGCCGUGAUGCUCCAGUCGAAUCCUGACUUCCCCAGGCAACGAUCCUGGAAAGCGAGAUCAGACUCCCACGGUCCAUUUCUAUCCGCAUCGCUCGAUAACUCACUCGUCACAUCGCGUCCAACAGGAAGGACAAGGGCGCCACUCCAAAGUCCAAAAGCGCCCGUGCCCCGUCCAAAAGUUCCACAUGAAAUAAUGCAAAAACUGCCCCGGCCAACCUGACUCAGCCUACCAAGAAACAAAUCCCUGCACAGCCCGCAGUGGAAAGCACAUGUCAAUCCCGCGCCUACGUGCUGCUACUCUACAGUAAAGUCCGUCCGUCUAGUCCAUCAAACCCGCAGUGAAAAAAGCUCUGCCCCACAAAACAGCCAGCCAUUGACCAGCAACAGCUCGCUCGGCCACUCUCCUGCCUACACUCACUCGCACUGCACCUCGCCGGCCGGCCGGCUCCCUCCAUGGCAACCACCAGCGGCGCCUGCCUGCCUCUCCUGCUGCUCCUCCUGUCGCCGCUGAUCAUCUCCUCGUAUUCAGCGGCAGCGGCGGCGGCGGAAGCAGAAGCAGAGCAGCCGGUACAGGUACACGGCCUCCUGCUCAGCUUCAAGGACUCCCUGCACGACCCCGCCGGCGCCCUCGCCACCUGGUCCAGCUCCACGCCCUACUGCAACUGGUCGCACGUCACCUGCACGGACUCCUCCUCCGCUUCUUCCCCCGUCGCCGUCUCGCUCCAGCUCCAGGGUCUCGGCCUCUCCGGCGACAUCAACGCCACCGCGCUCUGCCGCGUCCCGGGCCUCGCCGGCCUCCGCCUCGCGUCCAACGCCUUCAACCAGACCGUCCCGCUGCAGCUCUCGCGCUGCGCCUCGCUCGCCUCCCUCAACCUCAGCUCCGGCGCCUUCUGGGGCCCGCUGCCGGAGCAGCUCGCCGCGCUCGCCUCGCUCACGUCGCUCGACCUCAGCGGCAACGACAUCGAGGGGACCGUGCCGCCGGGCCUCGCGGCGCUGCGGGGGCUCCAGGUGCUCAACCUGCGCGGCAACCGCCUCUCCGGCGUGCUCCACCCGGCGCUCUUCCGCAACCUCACCAGCCUCCACUACCUGGACCUGUCCGGUAACCAGUUCUUGGAGUCCCAGCUGCCGCCGGAGCUCGGCGGGAUGGCCAGCCUCAGGUGGCUCUUCCUGCAGGGGUCAGGGUUUAGCGGCGAGAUACCCGAGACCUUCCUUGGGCUGGAGCAGCUGGAGGCUCUCGAUCUGUCCAUGAACAGCUUGACCGGAGCCGUUCCUCCGGGGUUCGGCCUCAAGUUUCAGAAGCUGCUGUCUCUGGAUUUGUCGCGCAAUGGCUUCUCCGGGCCGUUCCCCAACGGCGUCGACAAGUGCCUCAUGCUGCAGAGGUUCGAGGUGCAGGGCAACGCCUUCACCGGGGAGCUCCCCGCCGGCCUCUGGUCGCUGCCGGACUUGCAGGUCAUCCGCGCCGAGAACAACCGUUUCUCCGGCCGGCUGCCCGAGUUCCCCGGCGGCGUGUCUCGGCUGGAGCAGGUUCAGGUUGACAACAACAGCUUCUCCGGCGCGAUACCUCAGAGCAUCGGCCUGAUCCGCACCAUGUACCGCUUCUCCGCCUCGCUGAACGAGCUCAACGGCAGCUUGCCGGACAACCUGUGCGACUCCCCGGCGAUGAGCAUCAUCAACAUCUCCCACAAUGCCAUCUCUGGCUCCAUCCCUGACUUCAACAACUGCAAGAGGCUGGUAUCCUUGUCUCUGUCCGGCAACGGUCUCACCGGGACGAUACCAGCCUCCCUCGGGGACUUGCCGGUGCUGACCUACAUCGACCUGUCCAGUAAUGGCCUCACCGGCGCCAUUCCGGCGGAGCUCCAGAACCUGAAGCUUGCGUUGCUCAACGUCUCGUACAACCGGCUCUCCGGCCGAGUGCCACCGGAGCUGGUCUCCGGCCUUCCCGCCGUGUUUCUUGAAGGGAACCCAGGCCUGUGCGGUCCCGGGUUGCCGAGCGAUUGUGAUGCGCCAUUGAGAAAGCAUCAGGGGCUAGCACUGGCUGCGACGGUGGCCUCCCUCGUUACAGGAUUGGCGCUGUUGGCAGUAGGGGUAUUUGCAGUUUGCAGAAGGAUACAUGGCAACAGGUCCUCCUCCCCAUGGAAGCUGGUGCUUUUCCACCCAAUCAAGAUCACCGGAGAGGACUUGUUCGCCGCGUUCCAUGACAAGAAUGUGAUCGGAAGAGGAGCAUUUGGAAAGGUCCAUCUGAUUGAGCUACAAGACGGGCAAAAAGUCGCGGUGAAGCGGCUGUUCAGUUCGGGCAAGCUGACAUUCAGAGAAGUGAAGAAUGAGAUGAAAGCGCUGGCGAAAAUCCGGCACAAGAAUGUUGCCAAGAUCGCAGGCUUCUGCUACUCGGAAGGGGAGGUCAGCGUCAUAUAUGAAUACUUUCAGAGAGGAAGCUUACAGGAUAUGAUCUGUGCGCCGAAAUUCGCGGUGGGAUGGAACGACAGGCUGAAGAUUGCACUGGGUGUAGCUCAAGGAUUGGCUUAUCUUCACCAUGACUAUACUCCUCGCAUGUUGCAUCGCGAUCUGAAGUCGAGCAAUGUGCUACUCGCCGAUGAAUUUGAGCCCAGGGUCGCCGGGUUUGGGAUUCAUCGUGUCGUUGGGGAAAAGGCGUACCGAUCUUCCUUGGAUUCGGAUUUGAAUGACAAGUGCUACAUCGCGCCAGGUAUGCAUUUCUGUAGUUGAAUCAGUACACCAGGUUUUGAAGCCUGGCACCCUAUCCUAUGCAUUUGCAAUGUGUUCAUCUUGUUACCAAAUUGUUUUAGUAGUAACCUCACUGUAUGAUUGCACCUUAUAAAAAUUUACUGAAGUUCUCUUCUGUUUUCCUGAAACCAGAGCAAAACUUCACAAAGAACCCGACGAACCUCAUGGACGUCUACAGCUUUGGGGUCAUUCUCCUGGAGCUGGUCACCGGAAGGCCAGCAGAGCAGCCGGCGUCCAAGGACUGCUCGGACAUUGUUAGCUGGGUGCGGAGGCGGAUCAACCUGAUCGACGGCGCAUCGCAGAUACUCGACCCCAGCAUUCCCCGCACGGAGCAACAGGGCAUGAAGGCUGCCCUGGAGCUCGCGGUGGGCUGCACGUCGGUGAAGCCUGACCAGAGGCCGGACAUGUAUGAAGUUGUGAGGUCGCUCCAGGCGCUGUAGUUUAUACCUUUCAUCCACGGACACCACCAUACACUGAAGUUGCUAUGUGAUCUUUGACUGCAGAAGCACUUCAGUUUGUGAUGUUCUGAGUUCAGACCAUCUGUUACUAUGUAUUUCGUGCCUGUUGUGUAUAUUUGUGUGAUUGUCAUGACAUUGACAGAAAAAAUAGAAAUAAGACGCCUGUGUGAUUCGCUUGUUUAUUCAGCCAGCAGCUUUCAAGCACAAAAACAGCUUCAGUAGAACGAGUCAGUGAGCAGUUUUGAAGUAUACAAAACGAGCUUCAGAAGAACAAGUCAUGCAUACAGCGAUUAAACAACAAUUCCAACUUGCAAAUAUCUGAACAUCCUCUUAUUCCAUCAUAAUAUGAUGAAUAUAAGUUUUACAAACACCGAUUAUUCCAUUACAGGACAUAAACACACAAAGAUGAUAGGGACUAGAGUACAAACCAACAACAGUACUGAAGCAAAUUAUUUUAGGAAACAGAUGAAUUAAAACGAACUACUGGCUACAAUAGGCAAUUACACUCUGCCAGUUCUUCAGUGCCUCUCCAUAUGAGAGGCUCUUGCUCAGGCAUGAUAAACUCUUCAGUGCCUCUCCAUAUGAGAGGCUCUUGCUCAGGCAUGAUAAACAUAACUUCCACCGAUGUGGCCGGUGGUGCUCACUAUGUCGCCAAUCUGCUUGGCGACGCAUCAAUCCUCCAAAUCUUGCUCACGUUCAGCCCGGACCCUUGCCCGGGUCUGAUAAACUUUUCUUCCUGCACUUAUGUUGCAGUUAUUCACUAUGUCGCUGAGAAAGUACCAGCAGAUUGUACUCUGUGGAGGCCCCGGAACGACACCAGCACCAGCAACGGGAAGGCAAGGUGUAGACCUCCCAGUCCCCAUGUCAAAGACCAUGCCCUGAUCCCUACCCCUCCCACCGAUCCAGUAGACACAAUUACCCUUCAGUCCUGGAACAUCUUCAGCAUACAUCGACACGGCAUUGUUCCUCCCAACAAACACUGAGUAGCCUCCCAAGUCUGUCACAGCAUCCCAGCAUGGUUGGCGCCGGGGAUAAUACCUCAGAACAAGUAUUUCAUUCUCGGCUACACGGCGGUGACCGCCUCCUGGCAGCUGCAAAGUGACCGUGCAGCUUGCAUUUCUCCAGAUCUGGUACAGGUUACCGUCACAGAACACCAGGUUCUUGGCACUAGUAAAAACCGACACCGUGUUGUAUGGCGCGGCAAAACAGGUAGCAGGAUCAAACGGUAGGUUGCACUCAGACAACAUGGGCUCGACUGUGGCCGGUGCAUUUAGGUCCGGCCCGACAGAUCCAGGAGGAACUCUCCUAAGAGGCAUAAACACAUCUUGGCAGAAGGUAGCCUUCAUUGUAGCAAUUGGAAGCUGCUGCUCUCUCCAUCUACGAUGUUCAUAGCAGAGCAUGCGCAAGUUGCGCUGUCUUCUUCCCUGAAGACUGAGUGCGGGACGUCCUAAAGGCAUCUCUGGCUCUGAUGGGCCAGCUGGAUCCUCGACGACGAUAGGCUUCCUGCGGCGGCGCUCCGGCAGGCGGAGCACGUGGACAUCGCCAUAGCGGGUGAGGCAGUAGACCCUACCUUUUUCAUGGUAGACGACGUCGGCGAGCUGAUCUCCGCUGGAGAGGCGGACGGGAUCGAGGAUGGCCCACCUCCUGGCCCCCGCGGUGACGUAGGCGAGCCUGUCGAUGUCGCAGAUGGCGGCGGCGGCGAAGUCGUCCCUGGCGGGGUUGGGCGCGAAGACGAGCUUGGAGACCCAGCGGCUCUCGUAGAUCAGCGGCGGCAGAAGGAUCUCCGUGGCGGUGAUGGGGUUGAAGAGGCUGAACAUGCUCUGGCCGCCGUAGAGGCAGACGGAGAGGGCGAGCCAGCCGUUGCUGGAGCCGACGCAUCGGCCCCCCGAGAGGAUGUUCUUGAGCUCGAAGGAGCGGUGGGUGGGGAGCGACGCGGCGGACGGGCAGCACCUGGCGUCGUCGAGGACGACGAGGAGCGACGGGGACGGCGGCGAGAGCGCGCAUCGCCAGGCCGUGCAGGCGCCCCGCGCGCUGGCGUAGCACUUGAGGUCGAGGCUGUCGCCGAUGCGGCAGAGGAGGUCCGCCGGCAGAUCCGCCCAGCGCCGGAACGGCGGCAUGGCGGCGGCGGCGGGCGGGCUGUGUGUGGGAAUGGUGGCUAGGCCAUCGGGUCCUAGGGUUUCAUCUGCCGGAAUGGAGGCGAUUGCGAGGUUGGGGAAUUUUAUGCUCCAUUGUCGGGUGGGCAUCUUUCGGACAAGCCCCUGGGGUUCUUCCAGAUUGGCGAGCUGGUCCGGGCGCCGCGAAUGAGGGCCGCGUGUCUCCCUGCCCGUCCUAACGGGUUUCCCACACCUGCCAGAUCUCAUUCUCAUCUCCACGCCGUUGUUCGGGUCAAGGCGGAGACCGGGCCGCUCGAUCAAUACAGCCCAGCUCGCCAUGUUCGGCUGGGCUUGCUCGGCCUUAUUUCUGUUCCGGCUUCCGAGGCUCAAUAUGUUGCGUCCUCACCUAAAAAAAAA